UUUUUUUUUAACAACCUUUUUUAUAUUAUAUGGUCCUCUCUUAUAUUUGGAUUUUUCUAUUUUAUAAUUAUUCAUUAAUAAUUCUCACAAAUUUUUAGAAAAAUUACUUGUUAGAUUUUUUAAGGACUUAGAAGAUUUCUAUUAUGUAAAGGGUUGUUUUUAAUAUUUGUUUAAGGGUAUUUUAGGUAGUUCAAAAUGUUUAGAAAAGUCAAAGGUUAUUUUGGAAAAUGGCUAACAUAUUUGGGUUAUUUUCAUGCAUUUCCCUGCGAGUAAUGGGGAAGCAAAUUCAAUUUAGCCGAAUCCAUUUUAUUCAAAAUACAUUUUUUUAUUUUAUUUUUUUAAUUAUAUAUUUUUUAAUAAAAUAAUAUUAUGCGCAAAUAUGAAAUUUUUCAUGCUUUUCAAUCAUACAUUCUUUAAAAAUAAUUAUUUUAAAAUAUAUUUUUCUCAAAAAAUUGAUUGUAAUUAAGCCUAAACGAGGGCUUAAUCAAAUGUUUAUGGCCGUUGAGAGAGACGAAAAUUGCAUGGUUUGUAUCUAACAUUUGUAAAAGAAACAAGUUGGUCUCCCAUUUUUUGUUAACAGUUAGAAAUACCUUAUGACAAAAAUAUUUAAAUCUCUAUUAAAUUGUCACGUGAUCUUUAUAUGUUCAAAUUUAUGAUAGGCAGUCGGGUCGAUUUUAGGCUCGAGUUGUAAAAAAUGAUUUCAAAUGUAAAUUACCAUUGGAGAUGACAAACUAAACGAACUUGACUCAGGUUGAUUUGGAUUGAUUUUUUGAACCAUUUAACUUGAUUUUGUCGUUUCAGUGGUCGAGUUAUUUCGAUUUCACCUCUAGCUAGAAUGAAAGAUUGAGCACCCAAUUAUAAUUAUUUGAAAGUUGGAGUCAACUUACUAAUAAUACAUUACUUUGAGAAAUAGGUAAAAGAAAUUCAAUCCAAGAUUUAGGGUUUGUUUGGCAGGAUUUUUAAAAAAUAAAAACCAUUCUUAGACUAAGACAUUGUUUUCAAGCAUAUUAGGGUAAUUUUUUGAAAGUGAUUUGUAUGGUGAUAAUAGUUUUUAAAUAAAAUUAAUCCAAAGUGAGAUUGGACAUGCUUUCAGAACUUUUAAAAAGUCAAAAAUCACUUUUCAGAUUAGAAUCUGAUUUGAAAAUAUCUUGAUAUGUUUUUAAAUACUUUAUUUGAUUAUAAGAAUUUUUAAAAAAAGUUAGUCUAAAAUAACUUUUUUAUAAAAUUCUUUUAUAAAAAGUAGAAAUCUUAUCAAACGGUCCUUCCUAAUGAAAAAGCAAAUUUUGUGCCAAAAGGGCUCAUUGUCCAUUCUCAUUCUCAGUGAAAUCUAUCUUGCUGCAAUAAACAUAUAUAUAAAUAAAUAAGUUAGUUAAAUGUAAUAAAAUGUCAAUUAUUGUUCUAAGGGCCCAUUUGAUUUUCAUUUUUAUCAAAAUGAAUUUUUCUAUUUCUUCUUUUUAACUACACAUUCUUGAUUAAAAUAAUAUUACAAAUAAAUAAUUUUUUUAUUUUUUAUCCACACAUUCUCCAUUAAUCUACUAUUCUAAAAUUUAUUUUUUCAACAAAAUGAGUGGCAAACAUCCUCCUAAUAAAAUUUACUUCUUUAAAAAAUUGAAGAACAAAUAUGGGGCACAGAAUUAUUCCAACCCCUAGUAAAGAAUUAUCAUGAACUAUAAAAUGAACUAUUAUUUAGCUCUUGUUUGUCAUCCAUUAUUUGACAAAUUAAAGAGUUUUGAAUAGUAUGUGUUGGACAAUGUGUCUUUAAAAAAAUAAAGAAAUUUUAUUGUUUUGUGUGUAAAAUAUAUUAUUGUGUGAUACAGAAUGAUAAUUUAAAAAACAAGUUAAAAUUUUAAAGCUUGUCAAACAGGCCCUUAUUGUCCUUGUUUGAUGGUCAUUAUUUAAUAAAUAAUAAUAAUAAUAAUAAUAAUAAUAAUAAUAAUAAUAAUGAGCAGUAGCCAGUAGGGUUGGUGACUUUCAAGGUUUCACACGUGCCAAAUAGUCAAUUCUAUGUUGGUCUGCCUGCCUUAUUCAAAAUUUCAACUGUUUUGGGCGUCAAAGAUAGCGGGAACGGAAUUAAUAUUUUCUAUUUUAGAAUCAAAAAUUAUUCUUCAAAAGUCACAAUUUACAAAUUGGGUAGUCGACUCAUAUCCAGCGCAGCGUGAUUGAAUAAGGUUAAGAUUAAGUUUUUCACCCCUUUUUGUAAGGAAAAUUUAAGAGUAUUAUAAUCAUUGACCAAAAUUUUUUUGAGUAAUAUUAUUCAUUAUCUGAUCAACGAUCUAUAUAACAGCAUGAUAUACCAUUAUUCAAUUUAUUUUAAAAAAUUUUAAACUAUAUAUUAUUUAUGAGUAAAAAAUUUUUCGAGAUGUAAUUGCGUUUUUAAGGAUAAAUCUGUAAGUAAUUUACUUGUUUUAAUUAAUAAAACAUUAACUCAAUGCUUAGGCCCUUUUAUUUGUAUUUCAGUUUUUAAUUUUAAUUUUUGAAUUUAUUAUCAAAAUUUUUUGAAAACAGGUUUUUUAAGAUUACAAAAAAAAAAAAAUGUAUUUCAUUUGUCAUUAUGAAAAAUUUGUUUCUCAAACAGAAAAAUGGAAAGCAAGUUUGAUUUGAAGUUUUUAGAAAUUAUUUUAUGACAAUUUUUACAAUGAAAUUUGAUUAUUCAGUAAAUAAUUUUUUUAAUAUAUUACCAAAUAAUAUAUACAUUUUUAAAGUUGGUAAAGUUUAUAAUAUUUUUUCCCGCUUCACAAAUAAAAUACAAAUAAAUAAUAAAUUGUUUUGGUAAAAAAUAGAAAAAUAUAAAAUAAAAAUUAAUGACGUCAAAAGAGAAUUGCAGAAUAUUAUUGUGAAUAAUAAGAUUGCAGCAAACAGUGCAGUAACAAGUGAACAUGCUUAAGUAUAAAAAGUCGAAAUAAACACAAUUGGACAACUAAAGUAAUAAAAUAAAUUUGGGAAAUCAUUUAUGAGUCUCAGAGUAAUUAUCCCACAUUUGUGUGGCAAUAUGAUCUAUGACUUGCUCCAUUUGAACAAUCUAACUAGCAUCAAAUUGUAUGACGUCUUUAUCUUCAUUUAACUUUAAAACAUCUUGAAAUACUAUAUUUUUCGUUGAAUAUAGAGUUAGACUAUCCAAAACGUCCUGGUUAAUGAAGUAAAAAUUUGAUGAUUUAAAAAUGAGAUAUUUUGCCUUUCACACUUAAAUGCAAUGUUUUAGUAAUAUUUCGGCACAAUCAGUAUCAAUAGUUGAAAAUUUUUCUUUCCACCCGAUCUUCCUCGAGCAAUAUAAUCGUGUAAAUAAUAUUUUCGAUCUCAAUAAGAAGUAAAAAAUCCAUGAAUGUUUGUUUAGCAAGAAUAACAAGAUUGCUUGCGUAAAUACUAAUAGGUGAAAAAAAAAUAUUUGGGAAAUUGAGAUAGUAAAAUAAUUGACGGAAUCAUUUAUGAGUGGUAGAAUAGUUAUUCCACAUUCAUGUAGCAUUUUGAUUUAUGAUUUGUCUCAUUUGAGCAACUUGAUUAGCAUCAAAUUGUAUGACGUCUCUAUGUUCACUUAACUUUUACACAUCUUGAAAUACUAUAUUUAUUGAUGAAUAUUGAUCAAAAGAACCAUCCAAAUCAUCAUGAUGAUUGAAGUUUUGUCUUUGCCCAACAAGUAAAAGAUCGGUAAUUGAUCUUAAAAUGAUAAAUCUUGGCUUUCACUCUCCAAUGCAACGUUCAAUAAUAUUGACAUAUGAGCAUCUAUACUUGAACAACUCUUCCUUUCCAUAGUCUUCCUCAUCCACUAUAGUCACAUAAAUAAUAUCUUUGACCUCAAUAAGGGGCAAGAAAUCUAUGCAUGUAGGAAGAACUGACAAAAUAAAAUUGAUUCACAAAAGAACUAUGGUCUAGAAAAUAUUUGACAAAUCCUUUGAAGUAUUAAAAUAUACCUCCCACGUUGAAAAGUUGUUUGAUAUUUUUCUAUCUUAGCCCCCGUUUGGUUUUGAUUUUUCACCCCAAAAAAAUAAUUUUCUGACCAUUACUUACAAUAGUUAGCCAACAUUUUUGACUUCUUAAUUCAUAGUUGGAACCCACGUUUUCUUCUAACGGUCAAAAAAUUGAUUCUCAUAAUCACUAUCGAACAGGCCCUUAGCCUGCAUUUGUCAUCAGAGAAAGUGGCAAAUGAGGUUUAUAUAAAACUGCCUUGUAUUCCAAAAAAUAGUAGCGGAAGUGCAUGAUCUUUCAGUGAAACCUACAAAUAGAAGGGUGCAGUCGGACACAACAAGGACAACAAUUUAUGUAUCUGUGUUCAUAAAGAAAGGAAGUAUGAAGUUAGCCAAUUAUACUUGCAUUUAUAAUCAGUUAGUAAAGAAAAAAGUUACAUAUCGUAUAGGUAGCCGUUUUAUAUUGCUAAUGCAUGACAACGACUUAACCCAAAUAUAUAAUCAGUUUCUAUUCAAACUUGAUAAACAACAAAAGACAUGACAGUAGUUGAAGUAAAUCAACAUCACACAGGCUAAAGUAGCUAGUCAAGAGGGUCCAAUAAAAAUGUGAAAAAGGUUAAUAUGAACUUUUCUUAUCUGUAAAUGUUUCAUUGUUGCAGGACUGACCGUUCGAUAAAAAAAACAAAACAGUCAUGAGCUAAAAAGAAAAUCUUCAAGUUGAAAGAGCUUUGUUUUGAUCCCGAUCAAUCCUAGUCAUCAAGCCCAUUCAAUUUCUAUAUAUACUAACUCCAGAAGAAAGACAUGCAAAUUAUACCCAAAACGAAAAGGAGAAAGAGGAUUUGGGCUGAACAAGACUGAUCUAACUCAAAGCAUUGUCCUGUUAAGAGCGUAAAAGCUAAAGGAUCUACAAGUCUCCUCAUUGCAAUGGAAUAUAACAAUUUGAUCAACAUGUCAUACGUGUAUAUCAGACUACUGUAGCAUACACAAAGGGUCGUGUAAUAUAAUUGCAACUAAUGUAAUGGUUAUUCUACCUCCUCAAUUCUUCACUGUUUCUGAUGCCAACAUAAUCAAGAUGGCGUCUUCAUCAGAGGCCUAGGACUCAACUAUGGCGGACAUUAUUCUGGCAAGCCUCUGAUUUACAACAGCAGCAUUCUUUGGCUCACUGUUAUUUACUGAUCCUCUGAAAUUAUAGCAUUUGGGAAUGAAGGGCUCGUGCUCAAGCAAUCGAUAGAAGUGGUUCCCAUCCUCAAAUUCACUUUCACUGCAUUUAACAGAUCAUAUCUAUCAAAGUAGGUUGAAAUCUAGAAGUUCCCAUUAUCUUGUUCUUACCCAAAAACAUGACGAAUGAAAUGCUUUCUUGCCAGCUGCUUCCCAAACUCAAUGGGCUGCAUACGUAUGGAUUGUAAGACAAAAUAAGAAGUCAUUAAUCAGUGAAGAAUUGUAUAACCAUCAAGUUUUUAUUCUUACAAGUGAUUAUUUUUACAUCUAACAAAUCUAAUAAAUUUCCUAAUAAAAUUUUUGAUGUCAUUUGAAAAAGAAUUAAUUGAUCGAUAGGAAAAGGUAACAAUAAAAAAAAUCCUAAAAAUGAUUGAAUUUUUUUUUAUAUAUAAAUUUUUUUCAGAUAUAAAAAUAAUUAAGAUGAAAAAGUAGUAUAAGAAUUUAUAACCCCUAUGAAUAAUAAAAAUUUUAUUAAGAAUUUUUACGUCCAAAAAAAUGAAAUUUGACGUCGUACCACAUAUAAAAUUUCCUAAUAAAAUGAUGUAAAUUAUAUUGAGAAAUUUGUCUCUCAAAAAUAAUAAACAUUAAUAAAAUAAUUGAAUUUUUUUUUUUUAUCAAAAAAGACGAGUUAUACGUCUCUUGUUAGGGUACACAUUUGAUGUACGUUUAACCAUUUUUUAUAUUCAUUUAAAUCAUUCGAUAUGUUUAUGAUAUAAUUUUCGAAAUGAACUUCGAGAGGAUGUAGAAGAUAUAUGGAAACGACUAGCGUAUAAUCGUCGAAGAAUUUUUAAAAUUAGCUUGUUAUCGAAAUUCUCGAAAUAUUAGUUCGGAACGGCCUACUUUGACGCGUCGUAACAUUUGAUGCGAUUGGCUAUUUCGCACACCAUUAACAACGUGAAACACUAGGCCGUGAAUACUUCAAAAUUAUAUUAAGAAUGUAAUAUUUCAAUUUCGUUUAAUAUUCUAUAGUGUUUGAAGUUUGUAUUAUUUAAGUCAUCACCCGAGCUGAGCAUUUCAAUGAUCAUUCAAAUUGAUUGGAAACAGUUGAACUGUCCCCAUACAUCAAAAUCAAACUGGGAAAUUUGAAGUCCAAUAUAUUAGAAGAAAGUUUCUGAAAUGACGACGUUCAAAAUUCUCCACUCUAAUCUAAUGUAUUGCUUCCAUCAAUUUCUCAUUGUUCUUCUUACCUCCCAUGAAGAACUUGUACACUCCAAAGAAAAGCAAACCCCAGCCAGAUAAAGAGACAAUCACAAAGUACUCUUUCUUCCACUUGGAUGGACUCAUGGGGUCUUUCCAGAAAUCAACCUUAGUUGGCCCAUGAUGAUCAGCGGUGUCAGCGAGGCCACAUCGGGGAAUCAUGGAUGUGGACCGAGCGAAGGUUGCAGCUUGACGCGCUGUCGUUGUAGCCAACGAAGUAGCGAUGGCUUUGUGCUUUUUCUUUCCAAGAUUGAAUGGGCAUCAAACAACAAUUCUAGCUUUCAUUUUCUUGCCACAAUGUACCCAUGAACGAAGUGUCCCAAAUCGAAACCCAAAUUCACCCCCAAAUUCGUGAAAAACCAAAAAAAUUGCCCCCAAAUUCGCCCCCAAAUCUGCUCCACUUACUAAGCUGUAUUCAGGGUCCAAGAACUGGAGGAAGAAGAUGAAGAUUUUGGGAGUGGCUUUCUACACUUUUGGCCCAUUUCAUGUGUGAUGUGCCACGUUGGUAGAUUCUGUUAGUUUAAAGUGAUGGAAAUCAGAUGAGUGAUCAAUGAGUAAGCAAUUUGAUAGAUUAGUGAGCAAUGAGUAAUGUUUCAAUGUUUAGUGAGCAAAUAGUAAUGUAAUAUAAAGUUCAAUGAGCAUUCAUUAAAUUUACUUUUCGAAGAAUGUAAAAGGCAAUUUUUUGAAAAAGAAGUUUUUUGAACACACAGUUAUGUCACUUUUCUGGUAGCAAAUUACUUAACAAGUAACUUGUAAACUUAUCCAAAAUGCUAGAGACCUGAGAUCUAAGAUAGAUUGUCGUAAAUUUACUUUCUUUUCACCAAACAUGUGCUGCAACAAAAUUUAGUUACUAACAACUUCCCUAAAAUAAAGAGGUAGUUGACAACUUUUAAACUUAAUCAAACGUGCUCAAGAGCCAAGGGACCCGAGAUGGGUUGGUCUUAGCACGACCCCUAAGGCAUACUUAUUUGUCCUAUCGUAUAAAGAGGCCUAACACAAUAUGGUAGACUAAGUUUGGUACAAAUUUCGAAAAAAAUUAUUUUUCUUCAAACUUAUUUUCAACUAUACAUUUCAUGUGAUUCGCAACUUUGAUCAACUUUUCCAACAACACAUUAAAUCUAUUUUUAUCAAAAUCUAAUUUUUAUCCAAACAAAAAAUGGGCAUGGUAUAUUUGGGUGGUCAGGUCAAUAAAACCAACAAUUAUCUUUAUCUUUCACAAAAAAAUUUGGAAAAGUUUAAAGCGAGAGUUGAAUAAAAGAACCCGUUCUCCUGGCUUGAAUUCUCUCUUAAGGUUUCUCUUGUCACGCCACAUUUUUGUUUGUUCUUUGUAUAUCUUUGCAUUUUCAUAAGUGUCGUCUGAAAUUUCUUCAAUUCAUCAAGUUGCAACAAGCGUUGUGGACUGACUAAUUUCAUAUCCAAGUUCAACUUCUUCACAGCCCAAUAGGCUCGAUGCCCAAUUCAAUUUGUAUGUGACAUGCUUUCCUGAGUACCAGGAAGUAAGGUGACAUUCCAAUUGGUGUUUUAAAGGCUGUCCGAUAUACCCCAUAAUGCUUCAUCAAGCUUCCAAGAUCAAUCCCUGCGGUUUGUGUUCACUAUCUUCUCCAAUAUUUGUUUAAUCUUCCUAUUGGAGAUCUUUGCCUGCCCAUUUGAUUGGAGAUGAUAACCAAGUACUAGUUUGUACCUGACAUUGUAUUUAACCACAAGGGAAUUGAAAAGUUUUUUGCAAAAAUGGGUGCCUUUGUCAUUUACUAUUGCCCUCAACAUGCCAAAUCCAGUGAAGAUGUUUUUCUGCAAAAACUUCAAAACUACCUUUGCAUCAUUCAUUGGUAUAACAACGGCUUCAACCUAAUUGAAUACGUAGUCUAUUGUAAGAAGAAUAUAUACUUGGCCUAUGGAUGGUGGGAAAGGACCCAUGAAGUCUAUACCCCACAUAUCAAAUAACUCCACCUCAAACAUAUUAGUCAAUGGAAGUUUGUGAUGUCUUCAAUAUUCCCCAUGCAUUGACAAGAUCACAUGUCUUCACAAAAGCAUAACAGCCCUUGAAAAGAGUUGGCCAAUAAAAUCUUGAUUGUAAUACCUUUGAAGCAGUACAUGUGGGACCAAAAUAACCUUCAUGAGGGGAGGAAUGACAAUGCUCCAUAAUUGAUUGUACUUCGUCCGCAGAGAUAUACCUCCUGAUUUAUCAUAUAAGUGCAUGUAUUGAAGAGUGGUGAAUAAUCCCACGAUAUGACUUGACAUCAUAUAAGAAUUUCUUCUUUUAAUAGGAGGUCAAGUCAGGUGGCAUUUUUCACAUGCCAAGUAGUUAACAAAGUCAGCGUACCAUGGGAUCCUUAAUGAAAUUGCUAACAAAAGUUCCUUAGGAAAAGUUUCUUGUCACUUCUUCAUUUUCUAAUCGUGAGAGGUGAUCAGAAUCAACAUUCUCAAUGUAUUUCUUAUCCCAAAUCUCCACAUCAAAUUCUUAUAAUAGCAAGAUCCAUCAAAUUAGGCAUUGCUUGGCAUCUUUUUAUUCAAAUAGAUAUUGGAUUGCUACAUGAUCUGUAUAAAUGAUUACUUUGGUACCAAUGAGAUAGAAUCUGAACUUGUUACAUGCAAAGACCACUGCUAACAUUUCCUUCUCUGUUGUGGUUGAAAACCUAAGGAUAGCUAACCAAGAGGGGGGUGAAUUGGUUAUAUAAACUUUUUCGAAAAUUAAUUCUAGAUUUAAACCAAUACAAAAGUAAAUGAAUCAAAUAGCUACAAACAUGAUAACAAGCAAAGAACAAUAUAAGAAUUUGAGUAAUAAACAAAUGUAAAAACUAUAAGUAAAAGAGAAUAGAAGCCAAAAGAUAUGUUGUGGAGGUUCGAUCCAAUGAAAUGAUCUACGUCCCCCGUUACCAAGCUCUCCAACACGAGCAAGGCCUUUUUUACUAUAUUGAUUGACUUAUGGUGCAAUCUAACCUUCUACAAAGCUUUUGGUGACUUACAAACAAGGAGCACCGAUCCUUUACAACGUUGUGCUUUUCGAGACCUCAUCACGACCCACACUAUUGAGCUUUUCGGGACCUUAAUAUGACCCACAUGGUGACUUACAACAAGGAGCACCAAUCCUUACACAAUGUUGAGCUUUCCGAGACUUCAACACGACCCACACUUUAUCAAAGUGAUGUUACAAUCAAAUUCUCUCUUGAUAAAUAAUACAAAACAAAUUAAGUACUAAGAAAGAAUAACACUUCAAUGGAUAGUAGCAAAUAAUAGCUCAAGUGUUAGAUGAAAAACUUUGAUUAAAAUGAUAACUGAAAAUUAAGUUCAACCAAUCAAAAUAUUUCAAUGAGAAGAUGAAGAAAAAUCAAAUGCAAUGUAAAUCAAAUUAUCUUCUCAAGAAAUCUCUCUCUUUUAAUGAAUGAUUAUAAUAAAUCAAGUACUAAAAGAGAAAUGAAAAACUUUGAUGAAUAUGAUAAUUUUAUGAAUUUGAUUCAAUCAAUCAAAGUUUUAUGAAGAAGUUGAAAAAUUUAUGCAAUAUAAGUGCAAAGAACUUCUUCGAGAAUAUAUCUCUCUUUGAAAAUUGAUAUAAAUAAGUUGAGCACAAAGAGAUAUGAAAAAAUUUGAUGAAGGAAAUUAUUCAAGAAAUUUGAUUCAACAAUCAAUGUUUUUCAAUAUGAAGAAGUAGAAAGAUUUAUGCAAUGUAAGCGCAAAUACCUUCUUCAAGAAUAUACUACUCUUUUAAGAAUGAUAUAAAUAAAUUAAACACAAAGAAAGAUGAAAAACCUUGAUGAGAAUGAUGAUUAAUGAGUUUAAAUCAAUCAAAAUUUUUUAUAUGAGGAAACAAAUGAAAUGAAUGCAAAUGAAGGCUCAAAGAAUUCUUAAAACAAAAAUAUCUCACUUUGAUUCACUUGGAAAUCUUGUGAAGAAUGGAAAGAGUGAGGAUAUUUAUAGAGUUCAAAAAUGAGAAAAAAAUCUGUAUUUGCGGAAGACUAGUUCGAUUGACCGCCUCUCAUCCAGAAGAUCAAUAUAGUCGUUUGUACAGCAAAAAUUAGAAGUCAAAAUGGUCAAAUUGUGGACCAUUGGAGGGUGUUCGGUUGAUCGCCUAUGACCGAUCGACCGGUCCGGUUGAUCGUCUCGACAGCGCGAUAUUUUUACUUUUUGGCCCCGUUUGUUCCAAUAUAAAAGUUUUAAAGUGCAUGGACCUUUGGAAAAUAUUUUUAACUAUUUUUUCAUGAUAAAAAUGUUUUUUUAAAGUCCAAAUAUCACUUUUAAAAAUCAUUUUUAUAUUUGAUCAAAACGUUGCAUUGGAAUGGCUUUUCGUGCACAAAAAUUAAUUUUGAUGCAUAGAAGGAUUUUGAGCUUAACUAUUCUUUGUCAAAUAUCAAAGUGUUAGUACCUUUACAUUUUGCCUAAGAAAUCAAGUCUCAGAUCUUCCUCCGAAGUUUGGCUCUUGAACUUUUGAUCUUUAUCUUUCGUGUCAUUGAUCUUCAAUGCUUAACUUUUCUUGACGUUUAUCUUUUAAGCUCUCGUCUUAAAUGAUUUGACUUGAAUGCAUAAGCAACUUCCAAUUGGAUCUUCAUUUCAAGUCUAAUAUAUGUUGCUUGAUAGAUUUUAACAUCGAACUAUCAUCACUCAAAAUAAAUUAUUAGAAACAAUAUCAAUCUUGUUUGUUAUGAUCAAAACAUUGAAAAUGAAGUCAACCAUAGGUCAACAAUUUCCCCCUUUUUUAUUAUGACAAACCAUAUGAUUUGCAAGGUAGAAUUGAACAAUUUAUAUCAAUUUGAUAAAGGAAUAUAUAUUAUGAAUUUAUCACGUAGUUCAUAUUCCCCCUUACUUUUACAAAUCAAUAACCACAUAUUUAAAGCAUAAAUUCACUCUUUUCCUCUUGUUCAUAUACUCCAAGCAUAUUAUAUUUUCAAUUCAAAGCAUGCAUAAUCAUUUCACUACAUGCAUUAUAUUUUCAAUUCAAAGCAUACAUAAUCAUCUCACUACAUUUCCUCCUUUUGGCAUAAGCAAAAAGAUAUAACAUUUAAGAUCAAAACAUGACCAUAGAGAAUAUUUCGAUAUCACAUUACUCCCACUAUAUUUUAUACAUGUAUUCUCCCUAUCUUUUAUAAGAGAAAUCAUGCUUUUCAAAUUUUAUCUUAAAAGGGUAGCAUAUAGGGAGUAUGUUAUAUACGAUCAAAACUUUAAGUCAACCAUUAGAAAAUAGUAUAAUAUUCCCCUCAAUUAAUCGCAAGAUGCCAAAUAUGUGCAAGUUUAAAUAAGAGAAUAAUCAUCAUUUUAUAGUCAAAAUAUAAGUCAAAGCAUGAGUGAUGAAAUGACGGAAGUAUAAUCAUUUGGAUAAAAUCUUUGCACAUGGAGUCAAUCAUACGAAAACAUUUAGUAUCAAUUUAGCCACAUACUUCAAAUUCAUUGAUAAUUCCCAAAUUUAAUGUUUAAGAAUUUGCAACCAAACAAUUUUAAGUAAGCAAUUUCCAUUUAGCAUAAUUCUAAUCAUUUCUUGCAAUUUGAGAUUCUUUCUUUCUACAACACUAUCUUGUCUAGAAGUUCUAGGAGCCAAGAAGUAAUGUUCAUGGCCAUCAAUUUUGCAAAAAUUACCAAAAUCAAUAUUAUCAAAAUUCUUCAUCAUGAUCACUUCAAACAUAUAGUAGUACAUCCCUUUUCAUUUUGAACCUUUUUAUAAAGAUAUUUAAAUGAUUCAAAGUUUCAUGCUUUAGGUUCAAAAAUAAGAUUCAAGAAAUCUAGAAUAGUCUUCAAUAAAGUGUAAUGCCUACCAUUUGAGUUUGUGAUUCUAGAUUGUCCAAAAUGAUUCAUGUGAAGAAAUUGAAUAUGUUUUGUAGUCGAAGAUUAUUGCUUGAGUUAGAAGAAACUCUCACUUGCUUGACAUGCCAGAAAUUUUCUUUUUCUGAAAUUUUAAACAUGUCGUAUCUUUAACAAAAACAAUUUUUGGAAAUAUUUGAAAGUUGGUCCAUGACCCAAACUUAUGCCACAGUCAAGUAUCUUUUAAAUUUGAUAAACAUUUUUCUUUACUUUCAAAUGACAUAAACAUCCUUAUUUUGACUUCCUAUAUACAUCAUUUUUUUAUGUAGCAUCCUCAACAAGCAUUUGGAAGAAUCAAGUUUUGAUAUGAUAAAAUUUAUCACAAAAUUGACUAAAAAUUAAAAGGAUUAUGUUUAAUGUCAUCUACUAAGGGGACAUUUUUCAAUAAAAGUAGAUAGGCGAUGACAAAUAAUUUCAAUUUCGCUAUUAUAGAGACAUAAAGAAACACUUUUAUUAACGCAUAAACAUAUAGCCACAUAUUUCAAAUUAACCAAAAAUUUUCUAACCUCUUUGAACAUGUAGAGAUCUAUCAAGAGCUAGAGGUUUAGUAAAAUUAUUGGUCAAUUGAUUUUCCACAAGCUCGUAAAUUUGGGUGGGUGCAUUCGGAUGCCAAAAACCUAAUGUCCUAGAAACAUUAUAUAUCUAAAAAUCCAUUUUUCGGUACAAAUGUGCUAUGCUUUAUGAUUAAUUGAAAUAUAGCACAUAAGCACAUUCUUAACAUAACAUCGAGUCAUCUAGUAGUUAAAAAGAAAGGAUUCGAUCAUACCUCGAUAUUUUGUUAUGUUUACAAAUAUACCUUGAUCAUCUAAUUUGAUUGACGACUUCUUUGGAGUGUUUAUUGACUCCAAUUCUUUUAUUUUGAACUCCAUUAUUUCUUUUUGAGAAUAUAGCUUGUUUCUCGAUCACGUGCUCAAACAUACACUAACUCAAGAUGGUUUGCUCUUUAUUUUCUUUGAUACCUACAAAAUAAUUUAACUUUUGCACUUUGGUACCCAUAAAACUUUGGGUCCUUGAUUGUUAGUGUUUAUAGACUUUGGAAUCCACUUGUAUUUGCUCUCAAAGUGAAACCUCUUUUUGAUUAAACAAUUAGAAAACACAUGACCAUUUUUGUUGCAAAAAUUACGUGUCAUGUUUGAAAUAGGGAAAGUAGAAACUUUAACAAAGAAGUUUUCAAAUGACUUUUGUUUUAAAAAUGGUUUGUAACCAACUCCUUUUUUUUUUUUUUUUUUUUUAUCAAAAACACAUUUUUGAUUAAACAAUUAGAAAAUACAUGUCCAUUUUUGUUGAAAAAAUUACGUGUCAUGUUUGAAAAAGGGAAAGUAGAAACUUUAACAAAGAAGUUUUCAAAUGACUUUUGUUUUAAAAAUGGUUUGUAUCCAACUCCUUCUUUAUCAAAAACACAUUUUUGUUCACCAAGCAUUAAAUCAAAAAAUUUCUUGCUUUGAGUAAAUUUGCGAACAAUUUGAGUCAAAUCUAAAAUCUUUUCUUUUAAGGAGAAAUUCUCCUUAAUUAAAGAAUCAUAAUUGAGUUUUUCUUUUUUAAAAUCAUUUUGAGUUUCCAAAAGUUUCUUUACUUCUUUUUCUAACAAAGAAAUUUUUUUUUUUUUUGAGAGUAUAGUGUUUGAGAGUAAGUUUUUCAAAUUCUUCAAGAAGUUCAUUAUAUGAGGUAGAUAAUUCAUCAUAUAAAGAAUUGUCAUUUAUGUUUACCUCAUUUUCAAAGGCCAUGAAGCACAUGUUUGCAAUUUCCUCUUGAUUUCAUCUUCUUCAUGGUCAUCAUCAUCACACUCAUCCCAUAUUGAUUGAAGUGCUUUCUUUUUGAUAAAUCUAUUCUUCUCUUCAUCCUUUUCUUCUUUCUUUUUGAAUUGACGAUUGUUGAGGAAAUUUUUCCAUUUCUUAAUAAGAAGAACUAGAUCAUCAAGUUCUUCAUCAUUCAAAUUUUCACCUAAAGUGCCUUCAUCAACUAUUGAUUCUAAAGCAAUUUCGCGUUUUUCUUCUUCUUUGCUUUUCAUUGUUUUAUCCUUCGUCUCGGUGCUAUUUAACUCAUAUGUCAUCAAUGUUCCAUAGAGCUCUUCCAACGGAGAAGUUUUGAUAUCUUUGGUGUUCUCUAUCAACAUUCUUAAUGGGCCCCAUUCUUUCGAGAGUGACCUAAGCACUUUACUCACAAGUUCACCGUUAGUGAAUUUUUUAUCAAGGCCUUUGAGACCAUUAAUAAUAUCGGUAAAACGAGUAAUCAUGUCAACAAUCGGUUCAUUUUCUUUCAUAAAGAAAAUUUCAAAAUCUUUAACUAAGAAAUUUAUCUUAGUUUCUUUCACUCUGCUAGUUCCAACAUGAGUAACUUCUAAAGCAUGCCAAAUAUCAGGCGGAAUUACGUGUACUAAUACGAUUAAAUUCAUUCCUAUCUAAAGACAAUAAAGUAUUUUUUUUGCUCUAGUAUUUAAAGAUGAUUUUUUUUUAUCUACUUCACUAUAUUCUUCUCUAAGUUUAGGAAUUAUUUGAUCUGGUUUACCAUCCUCUUUAAUAACCUUUUUAGACACAUAUGGACCAAAUUCAAUAACUUCCAAAAUAUUAUAAUCUAUUGAUUGAAUAAAUAUAGUCAUUCUAGUCUUCCAAUAAAUAUAAUUAGUACCAUCAAAGAGAGGAAGACGAUUUGUAGAUUGCCCCUCAAGAUUUUGAAAAAUGUGGUUAGCCAUUACUCAAGAUUGUUAAAUCUUUAAUUUCAAAUUGAGCACCUUGCUCUGAUACCAAUUGAAAACCCAAUGAUAGCUAACCAAGAGGGGGAGAAUUGGUUCUAUAAGCUUUUUCGAAAAUUAAUUCUAGAUUUAAACCAAUAUAAAAGUAAAAGAAUCAAAUAGCUACAAAUAUGAUAACAAGCAAAGAACAAUUUAAGAAUUUGAGUAAUAAACAAAUGUAAAAACUAUAAGUAAAAGGGAAUAGAAGCCAAAUGAUAUGUUAUGGAGGUUCGAUCCAAUGCAAUAAUUUAUGUCUCCUGUUACCAAGCUCUCCAACACGAGCAAGGCCUUUUUCACUAUAUUGAUUGACUUAUGGUGCGAUCCAACAUUCUACGAAGCUUUUGGUGACUUACAAAUAAGGAGCACCGAUCCUUUACAACGUUGAGCUUUUCGGGACCUCAACACGACCCAUACUAUUGAGCUUUACGAGACCUCAAUAUGACCCACACGGUGACUUACAAUAAGGAGCACCAAUCAUUACACAAUGUUGAGCUUUUGAGACUUCAACACGACUCACACUUUAUCAAAGUGAUUUUACAAUCAAAUUCUCUCUUGAUAAAUAAUACAAAACAAAUUAAGUACUAAUAUAGAAUAACACUUCAAUGAAUAGUAACAAAUGAUAGCUCAAGUGUUAGGUGAAAAACUUUGAUGAAAAUGAUAAUUGAAAGUUAAGUUCAACCAAUCAAAAUAUUUCAAUGAGGAGAUGAAGAAAAAUUAAAUGCAAUGUAAAUCAAAUAAUCUUCUCAAAAAAUAUCUCUCUUUUAAUGAAUGAUUAUAAUAAAUCAAGUACUAAGAGAGAAAUGAAAAAACUUUGAUGAAUAUGAUAAUUUUACAAAUUUGAUUCAAUCAAUCAAAGUUUUCAAUAUGAAGAAGUUGAAAAAUUUAUGCAAUAUAAGUGCAAAGAACUUCUUCGAGAAUAUAUCUGUCUUUGAAAAUUGAUAUAAAUAAGUUGAGCACAAAGAGAUAUGAAAAACUUUGAUAAAGGAAAUUAUUCAAGAAAUUUGAUUCAACAAUCAAAGUUUUUUAAUAUGAAGAAGUAGAAAGAUUUAUGCAAUGUAAGCGCAAAUACCUUCUUCAAGAAUAUACCACUCUUUUAAGAAUGAUAUAAAUAAAUUAAACACAAAGAAAGAUGAAAAACCUUGAUGAGAAUGAUGAUUAAUGAGUUUAAAUCAAUCAAAGUUUUUUAUAUGAAGAAACAAAUGAAAUGAAUGCAAAUGAAGGCUCAAAGAAUUCUUAAAACAAAAAUAUCUCACUUUGAUUCACUUGAAAAUCUUGUAAAGAAUGUAAAGAGUGAGGAUAUUUAUAGAGUUCAAAAACGAGAAAAAAUUUGUAUUUGCGAAAGACUAGUUAGGUGAUCGCCUCUCGUCUGGGAGAUCAAUAUAGUCGUUUGUACAGCAAAAAUCAGAAGUCAGAAUAGUCAAAUUGUGGACCGUUGGAGGGUGUCCGGUUGAUCGCCUCCUAUGGCCGAUCGACCGGUCUGGUUGACCACCUCUCUGGGCGGUUGACCGCCCUGGUAACGCGGUGUUUUUAUGUUUUGGCCCCGUUUGUUCCGAUAUGAAUGUUUUAAAGUGCAUGGACUUUUGAAAAUAUUUUUAACUAUUUUUUCAUGAUAAAUUCUUUUUUAAAGUCCAAAUAUCACUUUUAAAGUUCAUUUUUAUAUUUGAUCAAAACGUUGCAUUGGAAUGACUUUUAGUAAACAAAAAUUAUUUUUGAUGUAUUGAAGGAUUUUGAGUUUAACUAUUCUUUGUCAAAUAUCAAAGUAUUAGUACAUUUACAUUUUUCCUAAAAAAUCAAGUCUUAGAUCUUCCUCCAAAGUUUCUUCCAUGUUUGGCUCUUGAACUUUUGAUCUUUAUCUUUCUUGUCAUUGAUCUUCAAUGCUUGAUUUUUCUUGGCUUUUAUCUUUUAAGCUCUCGUCUCAAAUGAUUUGACUUGAAUCCAUAAGCAACUUCCAAUUUGAUCUUCAUUUCAAGUCCAAUAUAUGUUGCUUGAUAAAUUUAAACAUUGAACUAUCAUCACUCAAAAUGAAUUGUUAAAAACAAUAUCAAUCUUGUUUGUUAUCAUUAAAACAUUGAGAAUGAAGUCAACCAUAGGUCAACAAUGGUAUAAUUCAUCUAAGCUUCAUUCAGAGUUUUGCUAGCAUUGUGAAUUGCCCUUAAUAUCUUUUCACUCCUUUGUCCUAGAAAUGCCCCGACUACGUAGUCACUGACAUCACGCGUGACUUCAAAUGUUUGACCCCAAUAUGGUGUUACCGUCACUGGAAUUGUAACUAAUUUCACUUUUAUUGCUUCAAAUGCCUUUAGGAAAUCUUCAUCAAACAUGAAUGUGGAGUCCUUUUCUUAAAGGUUGCACAGGGGUUAGACUAUCUUUGAAAAGUCUUUAAUAAAUCUUCUGUAAGACUCGUCAUGUCCGAAGAAACUCCGAAUGCCUUUGACAUUGGUAGGUGGUGGUAACUUUGCUCUUGUAUCAAUUUAGCCCUGUCAACUUCAAGUCCCCUUGUUGAAACAUGAUGGCCGAGCACAAUUCCUUCCUGUACCAUGAAAUGACAUUUUUUCCUGUUAAGAACUAAGUUCUUUUUUUUCACAGAGUUGCAAUACUAAAGAGAGAUUGGAAAAGCAAUUAUCAAAAGAAGUACCAAAUAUAGAAAAAUCAUCCAUAAAUACCCCCAUGAUGUCCUCUACCGUGUGCAAAGAUUGUUAUCAUGCAUGUCUAUAACGUAGCUGGUGCAUUGCAUAAUCUAAAUGACAUUCGUUUGUUGGCAAACAUCCCAUAAGAACAAGUGAAUGUUGUUUUUUCCUGAUCUUCUGAUGCUAUUGCAAUUUUUUUGUAGGCCCGAAAACCAUCAAGAAAACAGUAGUGAGAAUAGCUUGCUAAUCUGUCCAAUAUUUGAUCAAUGAAUGGAAGUGGAAAGUGGUAUUUUCUAGUUGUUUUGUUUAGCUUCCUGUAGUUAAAGCAAACCCUCUAACUAGUUAUUGUGCUUGUUGGAAUAGCUCGUUGUCAUCGUUCUUGACUAUUGUCAGGUUUGAGAGGGUAGGCACUUCUUACAAGUACUAGACAGUCAAAGGGCUCCACAAGCUCUAUAGAAAGUACUUAACAUUCGUUGUACGAGCAGCAAAGGUGCCCUUGGGGUGAUCUUGUAGUUCCUACACUUCAUUCGAAAACUCAAUCAAAAGGUGAACAUUCUCUGGCUUCAUUGAAUAUCAUUAUAUUCCUUCCAUAUCCCAAUUCCAUUCAUUUAAUGCCCCUUUGGUCCCAUCUUUCUUUAGUACCACCUGUUUUGAGCUAACCCAUUCACUGUCCGAAAUAGUAAAUACAAUCCCUGUCUUCAGCAACUUUAGCAUCUCUGCUCGUACUACUUCAUUCAUAGUUGGAUUUUAUUCUUUGAUGGUCAAUGGAUGAUUUGUAAGAGUCUUCCAUGGGGAUUUUAUGCAUGCAAACUGUAGGGCUUAUACCCUUGAUAUCAGUGAUAGAUCAACCUAGAGUAGCCUUGUGUUCUCUCAACACUUUCAAGAAGUUGUCAACUUCAUCCUUGGUGAGUGAGGAGGAAAUGAUCAAUGGAGAUGUAGAAUUUUCCUCAAAAAAUGCAUAUCGAAGGUGAUCUGGAAGUUGCUUUAAUUCAGCAUUACUAUUUUUAUUACCCUUACUGUCAUUUAGUCUCACUGACUGCUGAAUAUCUUCACUUUGUGAUGGAUUAUCAUCAUUUGGUAAAGACCCUAGAGCCAGUAUACAAUCAAUUAAGCCCUUGCGUCCCGUGUAAUCCCUUGUGGUAAUAAUGUCAUCCUAUGUUGCACCAAUCAUCAUACAAUGCUCCAGGGGGUCCUCGAUGAAUACACUUACCUCUUUCACUACAGAGUUAAUGAAGUCAAUUCUAUGGCAAGUGUUGGCAUCAUCUGUAAAUUUUGUUGCCUGGUAGAUAUUGAACAUCACUUUUUGUUCAUUCACUCUCAAACAACCGUCAUUUUUGUACGACAAUUAGAGCUCUUCCAAUUGCUAAGAAUGGUUUACCUAGAAUCAGUGGAAUUAUGUAAUCUUUUUCCAUAUCCAAAACGGAAUCAGCAGGGAAGAUAAAUUUAUCAACUUUUACUAAUACAUUUUCAAUAAUCCCUUAUGGAUAUGUGAGAGAUCGAUAAGCUAAAUGCAAGGUUACUGUUGUUGGCUUGACUUUCUCGAAGCCCAACUUCUUGUACACUGGCAAGGGCAUUAAAUUGAUGCUAGCUCCAAGAUCUUAAAGGGCUUUAUCGAAAGAGAAGCCUCUAAUGGUGCAUGGAAUAGUGAAGCUACUUGGAUCUUUCCUUUUUUGAGAAAGCUUCUCUUGAAGAAUUACAUUGCAUUCUUGUCAACUUCAGUAUCUCAUAUUCUUCCAACUUUCUCUUCUUCAACAUCACUUCUUUCAUGAAUUUGGCAUAGUUUGACAUCUAUUCCAAAGCAUCCGCAACUGGAAUAUUAAUGUGAAUUUUCUUGAAAAUGUCCAAGAACUUAGCUAAUUUUGCAUCAAACUUCAUCUUUUGGAAUCUCUGUGGAAAUAGAAGUGAUGGCUUGAUGAUUGGUGGGUCAUCAAAGAUUGAUAUGGAAUGAGGCUUGUGAACCUUCUGCAUUUCUUCGACCUAGUUUUCCUAGUUUGUACUUAACUAUUCUUCUUCUUUAUCAGGGAUAGUAGUUGUUACUACUAUAGGCAUAUUUUCUCCAAUUUUGCAAUACUCUUUCAUAUUCACCUCUGUAUCUUGGGAACUUUUUCUGUUGUUGAGACUUCAUUGAUGUAGCCAACUGACCAAUUUAAACCUUAAGCUUCUUCAUUGUAGCUCCUAUGUUGGUCAUGUGUGUCUCAAUAUUAUCCAAACAUGACUCAUCUUUGUUGAACCGCGAUCUUGUCUCAGAAAUUAAAAGUCCAAUGAUGUCUUCUAAGGAUGGCUUUCCUUCAGAAUAUUGAGUGCUGAACCCAAACAGAGGUUGAAGUGUGUUCCUAUUGUUGCCAUAUGAUAAAUUCUCAUGAUUUCUCAGUCUUGGAUGAUAGUGACUGGAAGAGCAAUUUUCUCUUUGAUUGAAGUUCUUGCUGUUGAUAUAUUGAGCUUGCUCAUUUGCUAUUUCUGUCUCUUGAUGUGCUAAAGAAGUAGCCAUAACUGAAUAUGCCUUCUACUGAUUACUCUAUGUAGUAAGUGUAGCUAUCUAAUUAAUAAGUGAUGAGAUCAGAGCUGCUAAUGCUAUUGUGGGAUCCGCUUCAUGUAGACCCACUGCUCUCUUCAUGGUUGAUCUCUCAAUUGACCAUUGGUAGCUAUUCGUGGCUAUGUUAUCCAACAAUGAAUAUGCAGCAUUAGCUGUUUUAGCCAUUAGAGUCCCUCCUAUAGCUGCAUCCACUAUAAUUCUUGUUUGCCCAUUUAACUCAUUGUAGAAGAUCUCAAUCCGUAUCCAACUCUGAAAUCCAUGUUGAGAACAUCUUCUAAGCAGGUCUUAAAAUAUUUCCCAAGCUUCGUAAAAUGGUUUGAAGCUGAAUUGUCUGAAUUGACCAAUCUUGCUUCGAAGUUGAGCUAACUUGGAAGGUAGAAAGUACUUGGUAAGAAAUUUUUGAGCUAAGUCAUCCCAGGUAAUAGUAGAACCAUACAGUGGUGACUGGAACAAAGCCUUAGCUUUAUCCCUCAAGAAGAAAGAAAAUAGGCAGAGUCUAAUUGCCUUAUCAGUAACCCAAUUCAUCGUCACUGUAUCACAAAUCUCCAGAAAAGAGCUUAGAUGAGCAUUUGGUCCUCUAUUGGAGCUACCCCAAGCUGUUUCUGCUAUACUAUAUGUAUGAGUCUUGGCUUCAGUUCGAAAUUAUUAACAGCAAUAGUUGGUUGCGUGAUACCAGAGUAGUUGUCAUUAGCUCGUUGUUUAUUAUUUUCAUUAGCGACUCUUGCUUCCCGUUCUGCCAUUGCUUCAUGUUUACUUUCCUACAUACCCCUUAGAAAGCGAAAUGUGCAAUAUGGUUUGAGAUAAAUAGGCAGUAUGUUAAGAUUCCUAGUUCUUCACAUACACAGUUGAAAAUACAAACAUGGAAAUUAUUAGAGAUGUAAACACGAUAAAAUAAAAAUAAAAAAAAUCUAAAUUAAAAUAAAAGCUAAUUGGUAAUAACAUCAAUAGAAGUCAAAUAAAGCAAUUUUCGACAACAACGCCAAAAACUUGUUAUGCAUUUUCUAUAAUCUGAAUUAUACCUCAAGUUUAUGGUGCCAAGUCUUUAAUAUAAAAUUGGAAGUAGAAUGUCAAACCCACUGGGAUUGUUGUCUUCUUUCUACAGAAUACUAUAAUUAUUUUAGCUUUUACUUUAUUUAGAAAAUUAAAUAUAUAAUCGAUGUUUUUAUUCUAAUCUAACAUGGAUAUGAUGACAAUUUAAGCAAUUUAACGCAAUUUAUAAGAGAUUUAUCUAAUUGAGGAAGCCUAGGGAUAAAUUUUACCACCCAAUCAACAAUGUUUUUCAACUUCCCCAGUUACUCCUAUCAAUUUUUCCAAAAUUUAAGAACCGUGGUAUAAUCCUAUUCACUCUCUCGAGUGCCGAGUAGAAUUUAUCUCUAUGCUUUAAUUCUAAUAUCUUUAUUCUAAAUCAAACAUAUAGAAAUUGUCGAGUAUGUGGUUCUUAAAUGAAAUAAGCAUCAAAGAUUUCAUACUUUUUUUCGAAACCUAAAUAAAUCUAGGUUAUUUUAUUAUUAGAUAACGUCUAAAUCUCCCUCUCUCGAGUGCCGAAAUUUAAAGUAUCAAAUCAUUCAAAUAUUGAUUAGGUAAUUGAAAACAUUACACACAAAUCAUCACAAAUAAAUUAAAGGAAAAACAAUAGAAAUAACUGUAUUAGAAUCCAAACAUGUCUCAAGUUAAGUUACAUCAACCUUAGAUGUAGAAUUUAGUUCAUGACUGAGAUGAAUGACAUAAUCAAAUCAAAGGAAAGAAGAUGGAGAAGAAAAAAAUUAAGAAAAACUUGUUUGCCGCUUAAAUUCUUCUUUCAAUUUGUGGUCUUCUUUCCUCUCAGUCGAUCUCUCUUUUUCUAUUUUUUCUUGAGCUGUCCUCUUCUCAAUCUAGGUCUUUAAGUUGUUAUUUAUACUCUCCUAAUAUAUCAAGACAAAUUGGAGUUGGACCGGGCUGAAAUGAUUUAAAAAAACCUGAAUUUUCUCUUUUCUUGGUAGUGGACCGACGCCAUAACCCCUACGUCUGGUGUUGUAGCGCCAACACUUCUGCUAGUUUGUAUUUUUGAUUGAGUGUUGUGGUGCCCGCCCUGCGCCCAGCGUUUUGCUACUUCUUUAAUUUUCCUGGAUGCCUACAACGCUGUAGCGCCUCAUGUACUGUUUCGCCUCCUUUGCUUGUGCACUAACCUCUUUUUCACUAUGUUUUUCUCUCCUUUCAUCUCCAUUUCAUUCCCAUUUUCAUGAUCAAUACUUUAGCUUCAUUCAAAGCUUUGAAAUAUGCCAUUUUAUCCAAGUUAUCUAAACUAUAAAACAACAUGAACACACAUUAAAACGCUCAAAAGUGCUCAAGGACAAACCAAAAACCAUGAUUUAGAGGUGCUAAUUCUAUGAGUGAAUUACACUAAUCAAGUUUCAUAGUUUGUCUACGAUUGUAUACUUAAACAUGGUUGAGAGUCUGGAUGCAACUAUAUAUCAAGGAUACUCAAUUUUCGAUAUGGUAUAGAAUUCAUCAUCUGAUAAUUUUUCAUAGUUUACUAUGGAUUAUUACUUACACAAGAUGAUGAUACCAUUGACUAAGUUAAUGAUAGAGUUGUAAUGUGGAAAGUGGUCUUAAUGGUACAAUAAUGAUGCUCCUACAUAAUUUGGUGGCUCCUUUUGUUCCAAGCCAAAAAGGCAAAUUUGGAAAGAAGAUGAAGAAAAUUAUCAAUAUGCAUAAGAGCAACAAAAAAGAUCAAAAGUAGAUGGCAAGCUUUAAGGUAAGUGUUCCAACUGCAGUCGAAAAUGACACUAGAGAAAGACUUCCCAAAUGUACCAGCUAGAAAGAAAAGUAGAGGUGAGGUUUUUUGUUACUGGGUAAUGUUUAGUGGUUAAUAUUACAAAUUCCUGACUUGUAAAUUUUGGAAUCACUAAUCAUAUCUACAUUUUGAUACGAGUGUUUCAGGAAAGCAAAAACUCAAUUAAUGCCAAUUUAAAACUAUUGUUGGCACAAAAACAAUAGUUUUAGCAAGAGCAUAUGAGUAUUUUGAUUUUAUUUCCAUAUUGUUAGGUGCUUGAUUCUUAAAGACUAUUAUUAUGUUUAGCUAAUGAAGCAAAAAUUUAUUUUCUAUUUUCGAUUUAAUAGGAUAAUAUUAUUCUAUAAAAUCAACGUCUAACAUGCUUAGCAUUUUAAUGAAUAAAAUUCAUGUUUGAGUUGGACAUUUGAUUGAUGGUCUUUAUAUUUUAAACUCUUCUGCAUAUGAAAUAAAAAUGUUACUCUUUACACCAUAAAAUGUCCUACCAUUCUAGUGAUACAUGUCUAUAGCAUCUUGGACAAAUCAAUCUUAACGGAAUAUAAAACUGAUUAGAGAUGGUUCUCUCAACUCGGUUAAGAUCAAACCAUUAACAACUUGUGAUUUAUGUUUAUACGGCAAUAUGAUCAAGAUAUCCUUUUUUGACAAAAGAGAUAGAGCCAAAGAUGCAUUGGAACUAGUGCAUUUUGAUAUGUGUGGAUCUAUGAAUGCACUUGAGAAGGGGAACUAUGAGUAUUUUUUUAUAGAUGAUUCCUUUAUAGUCAAGUACAUUUACCUAACAGCUUGAAAGUUAAAUACUUUAGAGGUAUAAGACUAAAGUCGAGAAAUAUUUGGGUAAGAGUAUUAAUAUACUUCGAUCUGAUCGAGGUAGUGAAUACUUGUCGGGUGAAUUCAGGGACAAUCUAACAAAAAAUAGUACCGUUUCUUAAUUGAAUAUGUCUGGUAUACCCAAACAAAAUGUCGUUUCAGAAAUAAGAAACACGUGUUAGAUAUGGUUAGAUCAAUGAAGAGCUUCACAACUCUACUUAUUUCAUUUUAGGAUAUAUGCUGGAAAUAGUUGGAUAUAUUCUUAACGUAGUUCCUUCUAAACCUGUUCUCAAGACUCCUGAAAUUUUGGAAUAAAUUCAAAUCAUGUUUGCAUCACAUCAAAAAUUUGGGAGUUUAGCUUGUGUGCUGAAAGAGAUGACAGAAAGGUUGGAGUCUAAGUCAGAGAUUUGCCUGUUUGUGGGAUAUCCUAAAGAUACCAAGGGAUAACUUUUUAUAGUCCUCUAAAUAUGAAGUUUUUUUUAGCACAAAUGCAACCUUCCUAGAGAAUAAAUAUAUUAAUGAUCUUAGUCUAAGAACAAGAUCAUGUUAGAAGAAAUAAGUGGGAGCACUUCUAUUUCGUCAAUUCCUAGAACACAACCUGGGACAAACAUCCCAUGGUGUCAAAUUGGGCAACGUAAUUUGAGUAGGAGAGAUAAGUUGUCAUUUGAUCCAAUAGAUCAAUGGAACAUUGAAAGUAAUGAGGAGGUAAUAGCGUCACCUAGUGGUAGUGCCAACAUUGAUAAAAAUAUUAUAUUUCAAAUGAUGUCACAGUCCAAUAUCAAUCGUCCCUUAGACAAGUUGGAUGAUUAUCAAUCCACCUUCAAGGUACUUGUUGAGUGGAGAGUCUAAUGUGGUGAUCUGACUUCAUAUAAAAAGGUCAUAGAUGAUGUAGAUGCAGUGAUCUAUUUAUAGAUCAAAGUAGACAUUGAGAUCUUGUAAUAGGAAUUUGACAAAGUGAUUAAGACAUAUGGUUUUAAUUAGCACUUUGAUAAACCCUAUGUCUAUAAUAAUAUAUCAGACAAGAUUAUAUUUCGCCUAGUGCUUAGGUACAUAAUAUUUUACUUAUUAGAAUAAUGUAGAUGCGUUAUUGUCCACAAAAGCGUGCUUGGCCCAACAGUUUCAUAUGAACGACUUAAUGAAACUAGCAUGUUCUAGGUUUCGAAUCUUGAGAGAUUGAAAGAACAAGAUGAUAGCUUUUGUCCUAAGUUUUAUAUGUUGAUAAUAUACUUGUUAGAUUUGCUAUGCAAGAUUUUGCGCUGGAGCAUCGAAUCUGACUCUUUAAGGAUUAGUCCGUGAAGACUUGUAAAGAGAUUAAAUAGAUGAGUAGGAUACCUUAUGCAUUAGCAAUAGGUAAUCUCAUGUAUGAUGUGCUGUGCAAUAGACCUAACAUUUGUCAUAUUGUUAGUGUGGUGAGUCAAGAUCUAUUUAAUCUAAGGAUUGAGACAGUGAAUGGCGAUAAAGCAUAUCUUUUAGUACCUUUGGAGAACAAGGAAUUAUAUGCUCCUUGCUAGAUCUUAUUUUGAUAGGUUAAAGGGAUUUGAACUUCUAGAAAGAUGAAGACUAUCACAUGUCUGCAUCAGUAUCAUUGUUUACACUUGAUGGUGGAGCCAUUAUUUGGAGAAGUAUCAAGCAAUCAUUCAUUGUUGAUUCCACCAUUAAUACUAAGAAUUUACUAGCUUAUGAAGGUACAAAUUUGGCUAUAUUAACUUAGAAAAUCCUUAUGGACAUCAAGGUGGUAUCUGUAUAUGUACGUAUUUACAUAAUAUUGGGAUAACAAUGGAAUUGUGGCAGAUGUUAAAGAACCUCGAGUCGUCAGAGGGUUAAACACACUGAACGGAAAUAUUCUCUCUUAAGAGAGAUAGUUGGUAAAGAAAAUGUGGUCGUCAAUAAGAUUGCUACUGGGAUGAACUUAUAGACUUGUUAACUAAGAGCCCGUCGGCUAAGGUUUUUGAGGGAUACCACAAGACAUGAUGUUGCAACACAUGGCACAUAUACUCUAGGGCAAGUGGGAGAUUUAUUGGAUUGUGUACCCAUAUAGUAUAUUUUAUUAUGAUAAAAUAAUUAUUUAUAAUAAAUAAAUUGUGAUUUUAUUUAUUUAUUGCAUUAUUUAUUAUUGAGCAUACAAAUUAAAGUGUCUAUAAUCACUUGUAAUAAUAUAAGUUGGGUACUUGCGUUGAGAAUACAGUGUGACACAACUUAUAUUUCGGUCAUAAAUAAUUUGUUCACAAUCAAUGUACAAGGGUUGGCACCUAGUACUAAAAGGUAGUAGUGUUGAUCAUUUCACUAUUCAGGUUUGCGAUUUGUCCAUAUCACAGAAAUAGUUAAAUGUAACACUAGUAUAUUUAGGGUGCAUUGAAUGGACCGCGUGUCGAGUUUAAUUCUAUAAAAUGAUCGUGUAGAGAUUAAAAUUACAGUUGACCGCUAUGUAUUACAUCUAAAUCCCUUGACAGGGUUAUAUAUAUCUUUUCAUGAUUUUAACAAUUCUUUGAUUCAUCAAUGGGUGAGAUCAAUUUUAUUAGUCAAAUAUCUCGAUGAGCUGGGAACUUGAGAAUGAGCGGAGUAAAAAAAUGAAUUCAUGUCGAGAACUGUCACCCUUAAAAAUGGGUAGAGUGACUAUUUAAGUAUUUUCUGAUGAACAGUUAAAAUCUAGAGACGACUAAAAUUUGACAUUUGUGAUUAGUUCACAGGACCGUUGAAGAAAUGCUACUUAUGUUAGUAAGAAUAAUUAAAAAGGCAAAACGACCAUUUAUACUCAUACUUAAUUAUUAGAUCUUGGACGAGGACAAAAUACAUAUAGAGUAGGUCAGAGAAAAGUAUACGGAUUUAUUGACUUUUGCGAUCUUAUAUAUUUCAAUAGUUCAGUCUUUUGCCUUCAGUGGCAAAAAGCGAAGACUAAGAUCUGGAUUUGGUGAUCUACGGUCGACUAGAAAGGAUCUAAUUAUUGGAGCUUGGAUAAAAUAUAUUCGAUCAGGUCUCUAUGGUAGCUCCAUAAAGUAUUGAAACUUAAUUAUGGUAAUUAUAAUAGUUUUUGGCUUAAUUUUAAUUACAAUAAAAUUUUGUAAUUACUAUGAAAGCUGUAAACUUAAUUAUAAUUGUAAUUGAAGUUCUAGGGUUAAGCAUGUCAUUAAAUGUAAACUAAUUGGAUUUGAACUACUAAUUAAAACUUCUACUUGGAUUUUAAUUAGAACUCUUAUUUGAAUGUGAAAUUAUUAUUGUACAUGAUUGUAACUAUCAUAUCUCUAUAAAUAGAGACUAGAUAGAAACUAGACAUCCUAUGGAAUUAUACAAAAAUCAUAAUACAUAAUUUUAUGAUGUUCAAAUUUAGAGAGAGAAAAAAGAUGGAAAAAAUUAUUUUUCUUACUUUUAUCAAUUGUCUAAAUAAAAAAUUAGUUUCUUAAUUUAAUUAAAAGAAUGUACCCAUUCACCGAUAUAGUCUUGAUUUUGGAUAAUACCAAAGAAGAUUUGAAAGUUUGAAGCAUCAAGUUCUUGAAAUUUAAAAGCUGCAAGUUCGUGAUUUGGAAUUAAUUCAAGAAUUGGUCAUUAAAUUUAGGUAAAAAUUCAAAUUCUUUAUUUUUGAUAUAAGAUCUACGUGAACAUCUAAACGAUCUUAUUUAUUGAAUUAAAGAAAUUUUUAAUUUUUGGAUAAUUUCGCUUUCGCAUUUCAAAAACUGGUAUCGGAGAAAUCGAGAUCGUUCACCUGCUUUUUAUUUCUGAAUCUUGAUUGCAUGUUAUAGUUAAACGAUGUCUAGGAAUCUUUUAUCAUGUGGUGUUAGAAUGAUUGGAUUAUUUUAAACUGAGAACCAAUUAUUUGUGAUCAAUUAUUGAUUGUAAUUCGUUAUUUCGAAUAUGUAACAAGAUUGGUGGAUUACGAUUUCAUCAUCUUAAUUUAAUUUUCGUUUCAAUUAGAUUUAAAAUUGCAAGCUCACGGGAUAUAGAAAUUAUGUAAUUUUUGUAAUUUUAUAUCUUAUAAAUUGAUUGGAGAUUGAAGACUAGGACGAUGGAGAAGAAAUCAAGAAGUGCACAAAAAAAAAUAAAAAAAAAAUAAUAAAAUAAUUUGUUUUGCUGGUAGCAAGUUGCUGCGUAGCCAUGCAGCAAUUUAUUGCGUUUUGACUCCGUGGAAUUCUUGACUUUGAUUUGUGCUUGCUUUCGUAUGGAUUGAAUCAGAUCUAGAUAAAUUGGGUCUCGGAAUUAAUUAAUUUUUUCAGGUACGGUGGUGGAUUCCUAUUAUUGUUUACGUUGCUAUUGUUGGAUUCUUGAAUAUUUUUUUGGCUGAAACUUAGAUAGAUUAAAUAUUGAACCGGUGUCCAAUUAGUUUUAAUUCAAUUGUUGAGUCAAUUUUUUGGUUCACAAAUAAUUGUUAAUUUAUUGCUUUAUGGAUGCUUUAAAUUAUUAUUUGAAAUAUUGUUAUCCUUAAUAUCAUGGCGUAUAGAUUUAUUCAUAAUAUCGCUCACGAUAUUAUGAAUAGGAUGCAUAUCAUUUAAUGUUGAUUUUUUUAUUAAUUUAAUUUAGUUAAGGUCUUGCAGUAAAUAUAUCUUAAAAUAACUAAACAGCCUGAAUUUGCUCAGAAUAUUAUAAUAAAAAAAGGUCAGAGUAAUCCUGCUAGAUUUAUGUUUGUGUAAAAAUACUCAACUAAUUUAUAAGAAGUUAAUGUAUAUUAUGAAGGCUUGUCUGAGUUGAGUAGAACUUUAUAUCUAUAGUGUCUCGUAAAAUAGGGAUUCCAUCGAUAACUACUAUCUUGGAAUGUAAUAGCAUGCCUUGUAAAAUUGUGUAGACUCGUAGUUUGAAAAUUUUGGAUUUUUUCUACUAGCAUGCUUGGAUCUUGGGCAAAAGUAGAUUAGCCUGUGUUUGUCUACCAAUUAUUCAACAAAAAUGAGUUUUGAAAUAGUGACCUUCUAAGGAAAUUGUGAUUAAAAAGUAUGAAAAGAUUUGGAUUUAUGUGCAAAAUAUUUUAUUGUAAGAAUGUGUGGUUGAAAAUAAAUUUUAAAUUUAAAAAAAAAAGGUGUUUUAAAAUAAUGAUGGACUCUUAAUUACUGGAAAUAAUAUAAUAGCAAGGAAGAAGCACAUUUUGGACUAGAAUUAUUCAUUGAACACUACAGCGUUUCGAAUUUAGAAUUGCAGGCUUCUUUGAUCAUUGAACAAACACUUGAAAUUGAAGACUAAAAUUUCGCCCGCUUUUAUAAAUGAAAAUUAAUAAAACAUUUUUUUUUACAAUGUUUUUUUGUGAAAUCAAGUUUAGCAAAUUUUCUUAAAACAAUAUUGAAAAUGUGUAAAAUAUUGAAGUUUAGGAUAAUUCAUCAUAUUAUUAAUUUUUUUAUUGUCAAUUGUAUUUGAAACAGAAGUUUUAUACGUGACUAGAAACCUUUUGUUGUGCAAAAAUCCCCCCAUCUUUUGUUUUCAAAUAUAGAGUCUGUUUGAGAGUAAUUUUGAGAAUUGAUUUUUUGACCGUUAGGAGAAAAAUGUGGUCCACCUGUAAGAGAAGAAAUCAAAUAUGACGGCUGAAAUAGUGAAAUAACGGUCAAAAAAUCAAUUUUUUUGGAGAAAAAACCACCCUCAAACGUGUCUAUAGAAAUCACAUUUCUAUUGAAAAUCCCUAAAUCAAAACUAUUCGUAGCAAUUUUUUCGAACUUAACCAAAACUUAACACAAGUACACAAAGUACCAAUUCAACCAGAUUUCUCAAAUACCUUCACAUAUCGUGGCACAAAGUCACAAUCAAAAACAACCAAAAAAGAGAUAAGCAAAUCACCCUGAAAUCAUUAUUUCUUAAUUUUAGAUCAUUUCUGGUCAAAGAACAAUAUGGAGCAAUUCAUGUUUGGGAGAUGUGUUAAUGAGUUAUAAUUUGAACAGGAAAGUAAACCCAACAACUCGUUACGAUUAUUAGUUCUUGCAGUGACAUAUUAAAAACUACACAAGCUUCACCAAGCAAAUUAUCAGUCAGUUAUUAACGCAACAAAAAUUUCAACUUUAGUCAUAAAUAGAGAAAAUUAAUCAUCAGAAACAACAAGCAAUACACAAUUUGCUGUUUAUAAGAUAGCUAUCGUGGAUCGACAUUAAAAGUUUAGCGCAAGUGAAUAAAUCCGUAGAUCUUUUAGCAAAAAAAAUUUUUUUUUUAAUUUUUAUUGAAACUUUUUAGAUAUUUGGUUGUUAAUUCAAAAGGUUUGAUGAAUAUAUAAUGGCUUAAUAAUACAAAAUGUCCUUACGUUUGACUUAUAGUGUGCAAAACCUUCUUACGCUUUAAAAUUUUGCAUUUUAACCCAUAUUUCCACAUUUCAUUGCGGAACGUCAUUUUUCACUAAUUUUUAACUUAAAAUGAUCAAUAUACCCUCCUAUUUAAAUAAAAAAAAAUGAACAAAUUGUAAUUUUACUCCUAAACUUUUUUGAAGUGAAAAUGAGUUCAAAUAAAUUAUUAAAAUAUUAAAAAUAACAAAAAAAAAAAACUUUUUAUCUCUUUUCUUCUUCUCCUCCCCCUUUCCCUCUACCUCUUCUCCCCCUCAACCUCCUCGACCACCACCGCCACCAAAAUUAUCGAAAUUUCACCCUUUUACCGACAGUUCUACAGUAAAUAUUCUACCAAUGAAGGAGCACAAUUAAAGAAACAAAUUUGAAAAAACUAUCACCAAGCCCUAAAAUCCAAAUGGGGUCGCCACCUUAAAAGCUAAAAAAUUCCAGCCAACCACCGUCCAAACUAUCGGACCUCCAAACCAUCAGAAGCCCUCACUCCUCUCUACACAUACCACCCAACAUCCAACCCUAAUGCCGACAAAUUUGGGAAGAAUUGCAAGCCAAAAUACUCAACUCGUGAAUGCAAAUAUUGGUGGCACCACCUAUUCCGAUGAAACUCGUGUCAUUCCCAAUACACUAAUCGACUAUACUCUUUAAGACGCUUCUUUUCAUGAUCUUAAAACGUCAACAGAUGCACAAAAUCAAAAGCUGUAGCAACUUUCAAUUUCUUAUUGGGCAAUAACUGGUCAGAAAUUCUAGGGCUUAUUAGAAUGAAAUUGAUGGAAGCCCAUUACUGUAGUAGGUUCGGCAUGAUGUGGCGAAGUCAGAAUGGGUGAUCUACGAUGGGGAGAACCACUGCUGAUCCCGAAAGUGAUGGAAAAGGCAGCGUUUUGCGCGCGUGAUAAGCUCCGUUUUUGGUUGAUUCUUGCCAUAUUAAAUUGUUGUUCGUUCAAUUUGUUUGUGAGGAAGUGUUUGAGGGAUGAGGCGGCUGUUUGUGGUGCGAGUUCCGAUGUUUUAUGCGACAGUUUGGUGGUGGUUGGUGAGAUGGAGGCCAACAGUUCCAUGAAUCUCCAAAUAACGAGUGGGUGGGGGUGAGUUGUGGGAAGAAACGUGAGGACUUUUUGUGCUGUCGAGCCUUCAAAAAAAUUUGAGCCUAUAGUUGCAAUCUAUUUUUUUAUUUUAUUUAAAUAGGAAGGUAUAUUGGUCAUUUUAAGUUAAAAAUUGGUAAAAAAAAAUGAUGUUUUUCGCAAUGAAACAAGGAAAUAUGGGUGAAAAUGAAAACAUUUAAACGUAGGAAAAUUUUGCACAUUACAGACUAAACGCAUGGACGUUUGUACUAUUAAGCCAAUAUAUAACAGAUAACAACAUUAUUAUAAGAGUGCAUGUGUUUGAACCACAUAUUUAUUUGAGAAAACAUAAUUGUUUCCUAUCAUCUUCUAGGGACUAAACGUAGGGACGUUUGAGCUAUUAAGCCAAUAUAUAACCGGUAACAACAUUAUUAUAAGAGUGCAUAUGUUUGAACCAGAUAUUUAUUUGAGAAAACGUUAUUGUUUCCUAUAACCUUCCUAAAUAACAUUAUUUAACAUAGAAUAAAAUUAGUUCCGUCAAUUUUAAUAUUAAAUUAUCACCAUACAAUUAUUUUAUUACAUAACUUAUUGUAUUAUAUAAGGUUUUUUUUACCCAUUUAAAUCACACGUGUAAUUUUUUUUUAAUCAUUUAAUGCUCCAUCAUUAGCCCUCCAUAAAUCUAAUUAUAAAAUAAGAUAUAUAUAUUGCAAAAGUUAUUUAAAUUGCUAUUUUUAUUUUCUCUUGUUUCUUGUAAUAGUUUUUCAAAAGAAUAAGUCAGAUAGAGAAUUAAUUUGUUCCCUUAAUUCAAAUAGUAUAAUUUAUUUAGUAUUCAAAUAGCAAUUUCACGGUCAUGAAACUCUAAUAUCAAUAGUUUGUUAGAGAGUUUAAAAUUUAAAUUUCGCUGGAACGUCGGCCAAGAUUUAUUACAAUUUAAUUAGUGAAUGAAAAUUUUCAAACUUUAUAUCGUUGCAUAAUUAGUCAACAAAGUUUCAAUACAAAAGUGAUAACAAUUCUUUUUAAGUAUAAUACAAAUAUGUUGACCUCCAAAAAUGUGUCAACAUGUGACACUCCUAAAUAAUGCACACGUGGACAUAUAUACUCACGUACAUUAAUGAAACAUUCAAGCUUGAAAAUGCACAUGAAGGAGAGAAAUUAGUGAGAGCAAAUAUUCAUAGAAAAGAAACCAUGAUACUCCUUUUUUAUGUAUAAAAAUCCAUCCCCUUCAAAUGUUACAAAAAUUGUUAUUUAUAGUGAUCAGGCCGACGUGGUCAUCGUUGGAUAAAAUCCACGUGGCCUCAUCUGCUGGACCUAGGUGUCACAUCAUCAAAUUUUAAAUUAAUUAUACUGACAGACAUUUGACAAGGGAUCAACCGCCCUACCCUCCUAGGCUGACAUUUUUAAUAUUUAUUUAAUGAGGACGUCACAUGAAUCAUUCUUAAAGAUACACUUAUCAGACCGACUCUUGAGGACCAUGGACCUGGGGUGUGAAGGAGUUCAGCAGAAGGCAGAAAAGCACUUCGACCAAAUGAUGAGAGUACUUAAGCAGUAGUGCCUUGGCCAAUAUCCUUUCUUUAUUCUUGAUUGAAUGCUACGUGUAUGCACGUGGUGCUUCUACGUGGCCCCGUUGGAAGCAUUACAUGUGGUCAGUAACAAAGAUUAAAUAGUGUGUUGGGAUUUUGUCACCCAAUCAAAGCAAUAUUCAGAAAACUAAACCCACAAAAACAGUAAAUAAUCAACAAAAAGAAAUUGGUCAUUUAGUUCGACAAAGCCGACUCGAGAGGCUCAAAGGUAAGAGUCCAUCACUAUGUGCAAGAUCCUCCCAAGAGAGAGUUUAAGGUUAGAGUACGACAAUCACAUCAUCGACUCAAUAAAUAGAUUAUCGAUCUAUAACAAAUCUCACAAUAACACCAUCUAACCGACAUAAGACCAAGACACAAGUGUAGAAUACUUUUUUUACAGUUCAAAACCAACCCAAAAAAGGCCUCAAAACUUCCUGUCACGAACACUAUACACAAGCCAAAACAUAAGCCUGGGAUUACAACAGACCAAAGGCCACAAAUCAAGGCCAAGAUCUGAUUUGCAACAAAGAACGAACUACAGAUCUGAAAAUCAAAGGUGAUGAUAUUAGAGAGACCAAAAACACCAGAGACUCAGAGAAGAAAACCAAAAAAAUGAAAUGAACCCCUUCAAACCGUUUAUAGCCAAACCCAAGGGUCAAGACCAUUUUCAUUUAAGCCUCAACCGUUAGAUCAGAUCAACGGUCUGGAUGAGUAAACAACAAACACAAAUUCAGGAGAUAGCGAGAUAGCCAGUAGACUUACAUGUUAAAAAAAUGUUUUUCCACUUAUAAAACUGGUUCUUGGUUUUUGAAAACACAAUUUUACAAUCUUCACCUUAUUUUCUCAAACCCCUCACUCUCUCUAGUUGCUACAUUGCACUUGACCGUAUUUUACCGUAUGCCCUAAGUAGCUACAAAAGAUUAGCCCGUAUUAAUACGUCGUAAAGAUAAACAAGAUUUAAACUUACGAGCAGUUAGAAUUUUGGUUCCUGUAUUGGAUGGGUUCAUAUUGGUAUGAAUUUUUUCAAGUAUAACCUCACUACAUGCAAUUUUCUCUCGUAUAAAGUGGUACUUCACCUCAAUGUGCUCAGAUCUCUCAUGAUAAACACGAUUUUUACAUAAAAGCAAAGUACACUGACUAUCAGUGAAAAUUAUAGGUGACUUUUGAAAAAAAAUUCAAUUUUCCCAAAAUUUCCUCUAAUCAGAUACAUUCUUUUACAUAUUUAGUAAUUGCCACAUAUUCAGCGUCUGUGUUGGAUAAUGUGACAACAGAAUGAAUUUAUGACUUCCAUGUGAUGCAAUUAUCAAUAAGUACGAAGAAAUAGGCAGUAGUAAACUUUCUUUGAUCAUUAUCCCCAUCAAAAUUCGAGUUUAGAUACCCCUUUAACAUAAGCUGUUCAAAUCUAUUUUCAAACACCAAUCCCAUAUUUAAUGUCCCGGUUAUGUAUUUUAGAAGCCAUUUUAAUCCAAACUAAUGAGGUUUUUCCGAAUUAGACAUGAAUCUACUUCGAAAACUUAUAGCAUAAGUCAAAUUAGGCCUAGUGGUGAUCAUAGAAAACAUGACCCAUCCUUGAGCAUUAACAUAUGGGAUAUUCUUCAUUUCUUUCAUUUUCAUUUUUAUUUUAGGUGAUUAUGAUGUGAUAAGUGUAUUUUUGUACACUUAUUUAGGUCACAAAUAUGACUAAAUAACGAGCAAAAUGAUUGAAUUGUGACUUAAUCUUGUUACAUUUGUGAAUUGUAGGGAACGAAGAUGAACAUGGUGAAAUUCAGGAAAAAAGACGCGAAAAAGGACUAAAAUGACGCAAAGUGAAAGUUCAGGGACCAAGGGGCAAUUAUCCAAAAGUUGACCCGAUGAACAAAUCGAGAAAUUGAUUAAGCCAAUUGCCAAUUGAUGAUAACUUGGGAUGAUUUAAUGAAAAGAAUGAAGAAAAGAUGCCAAGAAGUGAAGUAUUCAAGCGGGAGGACCAAAAUGCACAACUUCCAUAGUUGGUAGCACUAUGCGACCACAUAGUGCUACCCUCUAUGCGGUCGCAUAGAGGCAUACCGCAAGAAAAAGGCCACAAUAUUUUUACUCUAUGUGACCGCAUAGAGAAAUUCCCGGUUAAAAUUUUAGUUUUCUUUUUUCCGUCGAAACUCUUAUGGAAACAAUAUUUUUAGGAUCCUAUAAAUACAAAAACUCGACCAAAAUGUAAGGGACGCCUUUUUUACAUAUUUUUGAGAGAUUUUGAACGAGAAACGAAUGAUAAAACAAAAGAACAACAUCGCGCCAAGUGAAGAUUGGAUUGAAGAUUGAUUCGGGUGAUGACACUUCUUCAAAUAUUUUUAUGUUUUCUUCUUUUUAGCAUGUUAAGCUAGAUUUAUUAUUGUUAGGAGAUCGAUGAAUCUUUUAAUACUACGUUUGAUUGUUAAUUUGGAUUUUUGACGUAUUUGAACACAAGUUUCGGAUUUGAUUGAUUUAUUAUGUUUUUAUUUUCAUAUGAUUAUUGUGCACGUAAUUAUAUGAUUGUGGUGGCCUAUUUUAUGCAUUCGAAAGAAGGAAAAUAGGUUCGACAUAGUAUAAAUCAUCAUAGGGUUCGAUAGGGGAUAGAAAUAUACAUCUAUGCCUUGUGUGAAUCAUUGGAUUUUCGUAAAUUUAUAAUGCAUUUUGGUAUUGGGAUAGGUUUGACAUUGCUCGAAAGAGAUUGCUAAAUUAAAAUAGGAAUAUUGAUUCAUCUUUUAUGGAACUGUGUGCUAAAGUUGCAUAAUUGACAAUUGAACAGGUAUUGCUUGGGGAUUCGUGAUCUAGUGCGUUAGUAUACUCAUUAAAUCCAUAAAUUAGAGUUAAAUUACAUCCAAGUUAUUUUGCAUUUAAGUAUAAUUCUUCAUUCACACUUGCAUCAAAGGUUAUAUCUUUUUAGUUAAAGUACAAAACCUCAAUUUGAUUUUCGUGUUUCGAUUAAGGUCAUAAUAGAUUAAUUUGAACUAAUUCAAUCCUCGUGGGAUUGAUACUUGGACUCAUAGUCCAUUUUACUAGUUAACGAACCGUACACUUGCGGUGGAUUUUAAAUCGGAACAAAUAAUUUCCCAAACAAGUUUUUGGCGCCGUUGUCGAGGAUUGCAAUUUAGUUUUAAUUUUAACUUUUGUGAUACUAAUUCGAACUUAUCUAGAUUAGUAGUAGUUAGCUUACUAGGUUUAGUUUAAAAUUACUUCAAUUUAAUUUUGCGUUAAUUUUGUUAUCUCAGGAAUUGUAUGCAAGGAGCACCUGAUCAAGACUUGGUUCCCAUAGAUCUAGAGAUUGAACGCACAUUCCGUCACAGGCAAAAAGAAGCAAGAGCAGCACAACAAAUGGCUAACGAGCAAAAUCGAACGGUAAUUCCACUCAACGAAGGCAUGGCAGUUAAAGAUGAUGAGAAUACAGUACUCGGGGACUUCAUGACUCCGUUGGUGGUCCAAAGUCAAUCUAGCAUUGUGUAUCUUCCAUUUGGGCAACCGAAUUUCCAGCUAAAAACUAAUGUGAUUCAACUAUUUCAAAAUGGGCAUCAAUAUCACGCGAUGGCUAGUGAAAAUCCGCAUACACACAUAUCCCGAUUUCUGGAUAUGUGUCAACACUUUAGGUAUCAAGGUAUCUCGGACGAUGCAAUAAGACUGCGUUUGUUUCCACACACCUUAUGAGAUACAGCACUUGAAUGGCUAGAUUCACUACUCGUCGCAAGUAUCACCACUUGGAACGAGCUAGCCCACAAAUUCUGCACCAAGUUCUUCUCACCAGCUAAGGUAGCCAAAAUGCAGCAUAAUAUCUCUAUAUUCAACCAAUGUGAGUCCGAAUCAUUUGAAGAGACAUAGAAUCGUUUCAAAAAUAUGUUAAGGAAGUGUCCGCAACAUGGCUUUGACAAGAAGACACAGAUCCGAUUUUUCUCACUGGACUACUUCCAUCUUUCAAGAGCAUGGUGGAUUCAUCAUCUGACAGGUCUAUCUCUACAAGAACAAUUGACAGAGCAUGGGAGCUAUUUGAGAGAAUGGCUACAACUUCAGCCAUGUGGUCUACAGAUCGAGUGGUUCAGAAGAGAACGCCAGGGAUUUAUAAAGUAGAUACUUACUCAGCAUUGUCUGCAAAGAUAGACUCUUUGUUUCAUAAGGUUGAGAGCAUUUCACAGACCGCCACUACAAAACAAGUCAAGAAGCCAAGUUGUGAAGAAUGUGGAGCAGACCACAACACUAUUAAUUGUCCAAUUCUCGCACAGGGUGUCGAACAUGCAGAUUUUGUGCAAUGGGGUCAACGCCAACAGAACAGCCCACAUUCGAAAACCUUCAAUCAGGGCUAGAGAAAACACACAAACUUCUCGUGGAGUAAUCAGAAUCAAAACAGACCACAAGGUCAAUAUCAGCAGCAGGAUAAUAAGCCACCAUUGGAAGAGAUGUUCAAGAAGUUCAUGGCAACAACCAAUCAGUAUAUGGAAGCCAACAACUAGUUUAUGCGAAAGAUAGAUGCAACUCUUCAAGACCAAAGUGCAGCAAUCGAAAAUUUGGAGACACAAAUAGGACAGAUGGCAAUCUCCAUGAUGGGUAGAGCACCAGGAAACUUAUCUAACAACACUGAAAUUAACCCUAAGGAGCACGAAAAGCUAUAACAACCAGAAGUGGAGUACAACUACCGAAGAUACAUGUAAAAAGACUGGUAACUAGCAAGGAAUCAGCACCAACCUUAGAUGACGAAAUUGUGGAACAGACUGAACAAACAACAGGGGAUGUGGUCAAGAAGAAUUCCAAUACAUCACGAGGUACAUCUACCAUCCUAUCAAACCUCAUGAGCCUCAUAUUCCAUUCCCGCAAAGGUUGAAAAAGCACAAAUUGGAUCAGCAAUAUAGUAAAUUUCUUGAAGUCUUUAAGAAAUUACACAUCAACAUCCCAUUUGCUGAGGCACUUGUUCAGAUGUCGAUUUAUGCAAAAUUCCUGAAGGAUAUCCUCUCCAACAAGCGAAAGAUAGAAGAAAACGAAAUAGUGAUGCUAACCGAGGAAUGCAGUGCUAGAAUCCAGAGAAAGGUACCUCCAAAACUAAAGGAUCCAGGGAGUUUUACUGUACCUGGCACUAUUGGAAAUUGUCAUUUUGAUAAAGCAUUGUGUGACUUAGGUGCAAGUAUUAAUUUAAUGCCUCUCUCUAUUUUCAGGAAACUCGGCUUGGGAGAAGCUAAAGCCACAACAGUUACCUUGCAAUUAGCAGAUCGAUCCCUUACACAUCCACGAGGGAUCAUUGAAGACGUGUUGGUAAAAGUGGAGAAGUUCAUAUUUCCAACCGAUUUUCUCAUCUUAGACAUGGAGGAGGAUAAGGAUGUUCCACUCAUAUUGGGGCGACCUUUCUUAGCUAUUGGAAGAGCAAUUGUCGAUGUUCAAAAGGGGCAGCUUAUAUUGAGGCUUGGCGAAGAGCAAAUCUCUUUCAACGUGUUCAAGGCAAUGAAAUUCCCUACUGAGUCAGACAGCUGUUUCCAGAUCGAUGUAAUUGACAGAAUAAUUCAAGAUACAUUUCUGCUACAUCAUCCUUCCGAUUCAUACGAGGCGUGCAUUGCACAUUCUCAAUCCACUCACAUUGAUUCAAGUGAGAUUGAAACAUGUGCGUGGUUUUUGGAAACUAAUCCACCAUACAUGCGCAGACGUUGCUUUGAAGAGUUGGGAACUUAGACUACAAAGUCAGUGCCAUCUAUUCAGCAACCUCCCAAAUUGGAACUCAAGCAAUUGCCACCACACCUUCGAUAUGCUUACCUGGGGAAAUUUUCUACACUUCUGGUUAUUAUUUCAAGUACUGUCAGUGAAGUGGAGGAAGAGAAACUAUUUCGGGUGCUAAAGGAGAAUAAAACAGCUAUUGGAUGGUCUAUUGCAGAUAUCAAGGGAAUCAACCUGUCACUUUGCAUGCAAAAAAUACUCAUGGAGGAAGAAUUCAAGCCAAGCAUUGAUGGUCAAUGAAGAUUGAAUCCACACAUGAAGGAAGUGGUUGGGGCUGAGGUAUUGAAGUUGCUCGACGCAGACAUCAUCUAUCCAAUAUCAGAUAGCGCAUGGAUCAGUGUCGUACAGGUUGUUCCCAAGAAAGGGGGUAUCACAGUGAUAGAAAAUGAAAAAAAUGAGUUGAUUCCUACACGAACAGUGACUGGAUGGAGAGUUUGCAUCGAUUACCACAAACUAAACGCUGCUACUCGAAAGGAUCACUUUCUACUAUCGUUCAUUGAUCAGAUAUUGGAGAGACUAGCAAGGCACUCGCAUUACUAUUUUCUGGACGGGUAGUCCGGGUAUAAUCAAAUUCCAAUAGCACCUGACAAUCAGGAAAAGAUAACUUUCACCUGUCCCUACGGUACCUUUGCAUACCGUAGGAUGCCGUUUGGUUUAUGCAAUGCUCUUACCACUUUUCGGCGCUUCAUGAUGGCGAUCUUCUCAGAUAUGAUUGAGAAAUUCAUUGAGGUAUUCAUGGAUGACUUCUCAGUGUUUGGGUCUUCAUUUGAUGAGUGCUUAGACCAUUUGAGUCUUGUGCUACAGCGUUGUACGGAGACACACUUGGUAUUGAUUUGGGAGAAAUGCCACUUUAUGGUAUAGGAAGGCAUCGUGUUAGGACACCGAAUCUCAACAAAGGGUAUUGAAGUAGACAGAGCAAAAAUUCAGAUGAUCGAGAAAUUACCGCCACCAGCAUUAGUGAAAGGUGUUCGUUGCUUCCUCGAGCAUGUCGAGUUCUACAGAACGUUCAUCAAGGAUUUCUCAAAAAUUACCAAACCACUAUGCUGUUUAUUGAUGAAGGAAUCCACAUUUGAGUUCACAGAUGGAUGUCUGCUAGCUUUUAACACCUUGAAAGAAAAGUUGGUUUCAGCACCCGUGAUCAUCACAUCGGAUUGGAACCUGCCAUUUGAAUUAAUGUGCGACGCCAGUGAUUUUGCUGUUGGGGAAUAAGAUAUUUCACGUGAUCUACUAUGCAAGUAAGACCUUGAACGACGCUCAACUCAAUUAUGCCACUACAGAGAAAGAGCUCCUUGCCGUAGUCUACGCCUUUGACAAAUUUCGAUCAUACCUUGUGGGGUCAAAGGUCAUCGUUUACACAGAUCACGCUGCUAUCAAGUACUUAAUGGAAAAGAAGGAUGCAAAGCCACGUCUCAUUCAUUGGAUAUUAUUGCUUCAAGAGUUUGAUUUGGAAAUCAAGGAUAAGAAGGGCAGUGAAAACAUAGUGACAGACCACUUAUCUCGACUCGAGGCCACAGAACAGACAGAGACAGUGGAAAUUAAUGAAGUCUUCCCAGAUGAACAGAUUUUUGGUGUGGGGGAGGCACCCUGGUAUGCGGACAUAGUUAACUACUUAGUCAGGUCUAUCAUGCCGCCUGAUUACUCCAGUCACCAAAAGAAGAAAUUUUUCGCUGAAUUGAAGUAUUAUUUUUGGGAGGACCCCAUUCUAUAGAGGCAGGGGGCUGAUCAAAUUGUUCGUCGCUCUGUACCUGAGGAAGAAGUGCCUUUGAUAUUAGAACAUUGUCAUUCAUCUACAUAUGCAGAGUAUUUUGGUGCUUCGAAAAUAGCAGCGAAGAUCCUUCAAUCAGGUUUUUACUGGCCUACACUGUUUAAGGAUGCCUUUGAAUUCGUGAAAAGGUGUGGCCAAUGUCAACACACCGAUAAUAUAUCCAAGAGAAAUGAAAUGCCUUUGAACAGUAUCCUGGAGGUGGAACUAUUCGACACCUGGGGGAUCGACUUCAUGGGGCCAUUUCCUCAAUCCUUCUCUAAUCAGUACAUAUUAGUGGCUGUGGAUUACGUAUCGAAGUGGGUUGAGGCAGUUACAUUGCCUACCAACGAUGGGAAGAUGGUGGUUUUUAAAGAAACAUAUUUUUACCCACUUUGGAACACCGAGGGCUAUAAUCAGUGACGAGGGCAAACAUUUCUGCAAUCGCCAAUUUGAACAAUUGUUGACUAAAUAUGACGUUAAACAUCGUGUAGCCACUGCAUAUCAUCCCCAAACCAGCGGACAGGUCGAAGUGUCUAAUAGGCAAUUGAAGCGAAUACUCGAAGUCACAGUAAGCUCAUCACAAAAAGAUUGGUCUAAGAAACUGGACGACGUCUUGUGGGCCUAUAAGACUGCAUUCAAGACCCCUAUAGGAGUGUCACCAUAUCGACUGGUUUUCGGGAAGGCAUGCCACUUACCUCUUGAGGUAGAACAUCAUGCUUACUGGGCAAUGAAGAAAUUGAAUUUGGAUUUAAAGGCUAUGGAUGAAAAACGUCUACUACAACUUAAUGAGCUGGACGAGCUCAGAAUGGAAGCCUACGAGAAUUCAAGACUCUACAAAGAAUGCACCAAGAAACGGCAUGAUAUGCACAUUCAGAGGCAUGAGUUUACGGUGGGGAAAAAAGUGCUACUCUACAACUCUAGGCUUAAACUGUUACCAGAAAAGUUGCGAUCGAGGUGGUCUAGUCCGUAUACUAUUACACAGGUUUUUCCACAUGGGGCAGUUGAGAUCACUCACGACAGUAAGGGGACAUUCAAGGUUAAUGGACAGCGUUUGAAGCAUUAUUGGGGCGGCGAUUUUUCAAAGGAAAAGUCUACCGUUCAUCUUAGACCAAUAGAAUGACGCAAUACGGUAAAGUCGAGCUAUCGACUAUAAUCUAGCACUGGGUGGGAGGCAACCCACUGUAUCCUUCUAUUAGCUUACUUUUCACAUUAUUUUUAGAAUUAUUUCAUUUUCGCAUUUGCAUUUUUCUAGGUCAUCGAUUGUACAUGCAUGUUAAUUGGAUCGAAUUAUCAUCCCCAUAAUUUUCUAGGCAUUUUGAAUGUUUGGGAGUAUGAUUCACACAUUUCUAGAUAAAAGAACAUUUAAAAAAAAUUACGAGGAAAGUACCUUUUUGCAUUUCAGUGUGUUUUAAUAUAUAUAUAUAAAAAAAACUUGGUCUAUACGACCGCAUAGGCAUAUACCGAAACUAAAAUGGGGAAAAUUGUUUUCACUGUGCGACUGCAUAGCAUUCAACUAUGUGGCCGCAUAGUAAUGGCCGGUCAUGGACUUAAGUCCAAGACCGGCUCAUUAGAAGGGCAAACACCCAUUUCCCUCACCCAUAUUUCUCUCAACACUUAGGUCCAACGAGUCUCAUUCGAACACACACACACACUCCCACUAACAUUCCUACCCCUCAUUCAUUUCAUCCAUCACUUUGGCAUUCGUCACUCAUCUUCAAGGCAACAUAAGGGACGAAAUUUUUCUUUCCUCCUUUCAUUUCAUAUUUGGGUUGUAGUUACUCAUAUUUUCCAAUUGGGAAUUAAGUUGAAAGGGUGUAAGUAUGCUUGGUUUAGGGCUUUAAUUUGUGUUUUUGCUUUUUGGAUGAUUACCAUUUGCCAAGUAGUUUUAGAAUGGAGUUGAAUAUAUAUUGCACACAACGUGUUCGAUGGAUUGCCUAAGUGAAAUUUGUUGUGCAUUUUGACCAAUCUCGCAUUGGACAAUCAACCUAUACGCAUUCCUUUCCACGUGGUGAUCCAAUGCCAUAGAUAUUGAACUCGAAACACUCCCGUACCACCACACACAUGUAGGCACACGUGCUAGGCUCACGUCACUUCACAACACCCACUUCAUCCCUUGCGUUAAGUACCCGUAUGACAUCCAAUGAGCGUGAAAUUUGAAUAUGUGCUACUCCACACUACAUACUUUCAUAUGCCCGAAGGUUGCUUGGGAAAAAUUCAAGUUUUCUCGAUGAUGUCCAGAGGCAAAAGCGCACACUAAAUCACGAGUCACUUGACACAAUUUGGUUGUUUUGCGCUCCGUUUGUGUGAAUAUGGUUAUUUUGCUUUCCUUAUAUGUUCUUGAGCAUGUUUUCUUGACACUUGCAUGUUACCACAUUCACAACCACUUGAAAGGCCAUAUAUCACAUCAUAUCCAUUUUGCAACACGUAGGCACAUGGCUAGGUCACAGCACCCUACGGCCCCUAUUUUCCACCAUUAUUUGGCAUACCAAAUGAAGUCCAUUUGCUUUGAAAUUUGAAUAUAUGGUAGAUCUCAUUGAAUACUUUCAUAUGCCCGAAAAUUUCUCGGGGAUCUUUCGAUAUUUUUCGAUGAUAUUCGAGGUCGAACAUGCGUACUCGGUCAUGGGUCCCCUUUUCCAAAUAUGCUUGUUUCGGCCUCAACUUCCAGUUUUUCAUCUUAGCAUUCUAUUUACACUACCUUGAAUGUCAUAUUUUGAUGAGUGCACACCACGAAGUUCUAUAUGCACGUUGAAGUAAGUUUGGGGGAUUUGUUAAAUACUUGUCUUGCUAAUCUCAUUCCCCCUAUCGUUUUUCAACAAACAGUUUAAUGACUUUUAUUUUUAUUCCUUUGCAGGAUGCCUCCAAAGCGAACAUCCAAGGGAAAGGAGAAGGUUGAUUCCAUAUCUGGCACAGCCCGGACUAGGGAACCCAAAGGGGGUGUCCGACGUUUUCUAUCUUCAGACCAAGCAGCCCGCUAUGCCAAUAUUGUCUGUGAAUGGGCACUCAUCCCUAAGCGACUAGUUAAGUUGGAUGAUUUCCUUGGUUUUGAAUUGGUCUAUUUAAUCCAAAACUGCGGUUGGGAGAAAGUGGUCAAGAGACCACACGCCGUCUAUGAAAAUUUGGUACGGGAAUUCUACGCAAACUUCAAUGCUAAAAUAGACACACCUGGAUCCGACCAUCUGCAUCAAACAUGGGUUCGGGGUAAAUGGAUCAUGUUUUCACCUGAGGUAAUACAUGACUACUAUCAGCUCACCUGGACUAAUGUAGUCCCAGUCCUGCAUGAUUACAACUGGGUUGAGGUUGCAGAAGUGUUAUUGGGAUGUGAAAACGCUUGGCCUCUCCCUAUUGCUGAUUGGUAUCAGAUUGAUCUCACUCCUUCUAUAGCCAUCCUAUAGUUGUUCAUCUGCCACAACAUCGAGCCCAUCUCCCAUAGGACGACAUUCACAAAUCAGAAGGCGGGGUUCAUCUAUCAAUUGGUUCGGGGCAACAAGAUUGACUUAGCCACUUACAUUCACAAUCAGAUACACGUUACAGGUGCAUGGGGUGACAGGCACACAUCACUGAUUUUCCCGAGCUUGAUAAGUGGGAUUUGUAGAGCUGCUGGUAUACAAGUUCAGCCAGGGGAGGCACCGGAGAAACCAAGUCCAUUUAUCAAACGCCUCAUACUCGAGACCCAGGACCGAGCCAGAAUUAAACACCAACAGAAAUUGGAAAAUGAGCACCGACAACAGCAACAGGCUACAGAAGGGCCAGCAACUGAGGACUUUGAAAUGCCAUAAGCUCCACCACCACCGGCUGACGUGGACACCUAGUUAUUGAGGCAGAUGUUUGCCACUAUGACUGGACACAGCCGAGACAUGCAGCAGCUUCAGCACUCUUUUGGGGCACUGACUACCACCAUCCAGCAGGUGCAGAAGGAUAUGUCAUCUGCACGAAACUUCGCUUCCACUGCCAGCAUUGGCACGCCGACAGAUGAGUACCUUUGAUGGGCGUUUGGGCAUGUACGUUAGCCGGAUGGAUGGUAUACAGUGGCGGGUAAACGAGACUUGGGACUGUCUAGGGAGUUUGGAGACAAUGGUGCAGGCCAUGCAAAUGGAGGAGACCCAGCAGUCUGCCAUGUUGAGAGAGAUCUUGUCCCGCCUUUCCUCCCCUCCUGGCGAUGAUUAUGUCGGGCCCAACUUUCCGUCCCAGCCAUCGUUUUGAUCAAGGGAGUACUGUUUUCCCCAUUUUGAUUUUUCGUCUUCAUUUUGUCCUUAAAAUUAUGUCUUUAAUCUUUUGUUAAUCUUAUGUUUAGGACAAUGUAUUAACUAAGUUUGAGGGGGUGACAUAAUUUUAACUCUCUAUCUGUGUUCAUCAUUAUCUUUUUUCCACUCUUUCCAUUACUGCAUAAUGUGUGCAUGAUGCGUGUUAUAAAAAAAAUUUCAUUUUAUUCAAUUUGUUUUAAAUUCUCUUUAUACAUGUUUGUGUGGGCUUGAUAACCUUGUUUGCUAUGAUGAUAUUAUUGGACUAGCGUAAACUGCAAAACUUUGGAUCUUGUGUUAAUUAGACUAACUGAUACUUGUUGAUGCAACACUUGACAUUAUCUGUGCACGCUAUUCAUGCUUGCAAUAUUAGGAGAAUGAUUGGAUUUUUGGCAUAAUAUAGGAAAAAAAUGAUAAUCCUCUAUUGAAUUAACCCAUAAACUACCUUAAGACAGUUUGGUGAUAGUUGAAAGCGUUGAGAUGAGCGGGGGCUCCGUGCAUGAAAUUUAUUGUGUGAAUUGCCUAGAUCAGUGGGAUGAAGAGUAGGUGAAAAUCUUAAAUGGGGGGUUGGUUUUGGAAGCUAAAUGUCUAGAAAAAUAACAAAGGGCACAAAUUUAUUAUGUGAGAGUGAAACACUUCUUUUCAUGCCUUUAUGACUCGAGCAAGUAAGCCUGUAAGGAUAUUUCAAAAUCUGGUGCCCUAAAGCCAACUGGCCUGAGAGUCACCGACCUAAAGCUCAAUACAUGGGUCAUAUAGAAAGCAAGAGGAAAAGAAAUUAAUAAAAAGUCAUCUUAUCGAGCCUUUAUAACUCGAGUGAAUAAGCCUGCAAGGGUUUAAAAUCUGGUACCCUAAAGCCAACUGGUUUGGGAAUUAUCGACCUAAAACUCGUUACAUGGGUUAUAUAGAAAGCAAAUGAGAAGAUAACAACCAAAUUAAAGAACGGUGAGAAAAACAAAAGAGAGACAAUAACAUGACGAAAAGCCCUUAGACAAUUGGUUGAAGAGACUAUACCUCUGAGGCGAGACAAGUAAUCUAGUUUAAUCUUGAGAGUCGAAGCAAUCAACCUUAGGAGAGCCUUCACUUGUUGAAAUGUAAAACUUGUGAUAGUAAGACUAAUCCAAACUACAAGAGGGUGAGGACUACAACUAUAUAAAUUCUUAAUCUUAAAACACAUCAUCGGGAUAAUUGAAUGAAAAGAAUAAGUUUGGGGGGUUGUGUAUCUCUCGAGCAAGUAAGGAUAUAUUUGACCACUUGGGGUCGGGACUCAAUUUCAUCAUGAACCUGAUAUGUUGGCAUGUAUUCACACACACACGUCAGUUUGCAUUUAACAUGUAAAUGUUGAUGUUAUGUUUGCACAGAUAAAUUUUUGAAUACUCGGUCCAAUCCUGAGCCACAACAGGAUAUUAAGCCAUGUUUGUUCAGAAUUAAGUCACUAUCUUGUUUGAGAACAAACAAUAGUUCAAGUUUGGGGGAUUUGAUAAGUGUAUUUUUGCACACUUAUUUAGGUCACAAACAUGACUAAAUAACGAGCAAAAUGAUUGAAUUGUGACUUAAUCUCGUUACAUUUGUGAAUUGUAGGGAAUGACGAUGAACAUGGUAAAAUUCAGGAAAAAAGACGCGAAAAAAGACUAAAAUGACGCAAAGUGAAAGUUCAGGGACGAAGGUGCGAUUAUCCAAAAGUUGACCUGAUGAACAAAUCGAGAAAUUGAUUAAGCCAAUUAUCAAUUGACGAUACUUUGGGAUGAUUUAAUGAAAAGAAAGAAGAAAGAUGCCAAGAAAUGAAGUAUUCAAGUGGGAGGACCAAAAUGCACAACUUCCAUAGUUGGUAGCACUAUGCAACCACAUAGUGCUACCCUCUAUGCGGUCGCAUAGAGGCAUACCGCAAGAAAAAGGCCACAAUAUUUUUACUCUAUGCGUUCUGGUCGAGUUUUUGUAUUUAUAGGACCCUAAAAAUAUUGUUUUCGUAAGAGUUUCGGAGGAAAAAAGAAACUAAAAUUUUAACCGGGAAUUGCUCUAUGCGACCGUAUAGAGCAACUCUAUGCGGUCGCAUAGAGUUGCUCUAUACGGUCGCAUAGAGCAAUUCCCGGUUAAAAUUUUAGUUUCUUUUUUCCUCCGAAACUCUUACGAAAACAAUAUUUUUAGGGUCCUAUAAAUACAAAAACUCGACCAGAACAUAAGGAACGCUAUUUUUACAUAUUUUUGAGAGAUUUUGAAGGAGAAACGAAGGAUAGAACAAAAGAAAAAUAUCGCGCUAAGUGAAGAUUGGAUUGAAUAUUGAUUCGGGUGAUGACGUUUCUUCAAAUAUUUUUAUGUUUUCUUCUUUUUAGCAUGUUAGGCUAGAUUAUCAUUAAUAGGAGAUCGAUGAACCUUGUAAUACUACGUUUGAUUGUUAAUUUGAAUUUUUGACGUAUUUGAACACAAGUUUCGGAUUUGAUUGAUUUAUUACGUUUUUAUUUUCAUAUGAUUAUUGUGCACGUAAUUAUAUGAUUGUAGUGGCCUUUUUAUGCAUUCAAAAGAAGGAAAAUAGGUUCGACAUAGUAUAAAUCAUCAUAGGGUCCGAUGGGGGAUAGAAAUAUACCUCUAUGCCUUGUGUGAAUCAUUGGAUAUUCGUAAAUUUAUAAUGCAUUUCGGUAUGUUAAUAUUCGUCAUAGAAAUAUAAUCGAAUCAUAUAUUGAGAUAUGUUUGACAUUGCUCGAGAGAGAUUGCUAAACUAAAAUAGGAAUAUUGAUUCAUCUUUUGUGGAACUGUGUGUCAAAGUUGCAUAAUUGACAAUUGAACGGGUAUUGCUUGGGAAUUCGUGAUCCUAGUGUGUUAGUAUACUCAUUAAAUCCAUAAAUUCGAGUUAAAUUGCAUUUAAGUAUAAUUCUUCAUUCAUACUUGCAUCAAAGGUUACAUCUUUUUAGUUAAAGUACAAAACCUCAAUUUGAUUUUCGUGUUUCGGUUAAGGUCUUAAUAGAUUAAUUUGAACUAAUUCAAUUCUCGUGGGAUCGAUACUUGGAUUGAUAGUCCAUUUUACUACUUGUUAACGAACCAAACACUUGCAGUGGAUUUUAAAUCGGAACAAAUAAUUUCGCGAAUAAGAUGAUAAAUUCAUAUGGGUUGCAAAAGUUAUAUUCACAUGCUUAACUUUUUUCAAACCAAGUUUGGUUAUAACUUUGUUCAAAUAAGCACUUUGUGUUAUAAUUAAAAUAUUCUCUUACCUAUUUCUGUUAAUAAUCAUUCCUAAAUUUUUUUUUGCCAUUUUCUAAGUCUUUCUUAUCAAAUUUAGACUUUAGAAGUUAUGUCUUAAAAUUUCAGCUUUGCUAGAGCUGGCCAAUAGCAUCUCAUCAACAUAUAGAAGUAAACAAACUUCACUACGAGCCCUAUAUUAUUGUAGUAUAGACAGUGACCAUAUUCACUUCUUUUGAAACCAAUAAUCAACAUAUAUGUUUCAAAUCUAAUAAACCAUUGCCUUGGAUUUUGUUUGAGCCGUACAAUGAUUUUUACAACUUACAAACAUAACCUUCCUUUUCCUUUACCUCAAACCCUUGGGAUUGACUUAUAUAGAUCUCCUCAUCUAACUCAUCAUGUAAAAAGGCCAUCUUAACAUCUAAUUAUUCAAGUUCUCAAUUGAAUUGAACAACUACUGCAAUAAUCAAUCUUAUGGUCUUAUUUUUGACAACUGGAGAGAAGAUUUCAUUAUAGUCUACACCCUCCUUUUUUAGUAAAGCCUUUCGCUACAAGCUUUAUAUCUCAAAAGGUUAGAUGAGGUAAUCCCAUCGUUCGGUUUGAAAAUCCACUUGAAUUGAACAACUAUUUGAUUUUUAAGUUUCUAUUCUAAUUUCCAUGUAUUAUUUACAAGUAAAGAUUUCAUUUCUUCUUUCAUUGCAUCUUUUCAUUUCUCAAAUUUAAAGUAAUUCAUGGCCUCUUCAUAGGAUGAAAGUUCUUAAUACUCUAGAGUUCGCAAGAGAUAAGGGCAAAAUCAGUCAAGCCAUUUAUUUCAUAUCUUGGAUUUGGUUUGACUUGUCUCCUUUCCCUAUCUCUAAUCAAUUGAUAAUCCCAAGCGUUUAUCUCAACAGUGGGAACAUUUGGGCUUUCAGUUUUAGUCUCAACCUCAGUUUGAGCAACAUUUUCAUCAAGUUGUUGAAUGCCAACUUCAAUACUCUCAAGUUGAGUGGGGUUUAGCCUUACUAGCUUCAUCUCACUCCGUAAAUAAGUCUCUUUAUUUUGCUCUUUUAAAUUAUAAAUUUCAUAUUUCAUACAUGGCAUUUUUUAUUCAUGAAAUACCAUAGUUCAGCUAUUAAUGAACUUAAUGCCCUACACAACCAAUAUCCACAACCUGUAUCCCUUCACACCUUUUGGGUACCAAAGCAUAACACACUUAGUAACUCUGGGGUCCAACUUUCCCUCAACCUGAUGGGCAUAUGCCGUACAUCCAAGACUCUAAUGUGAGAAAGGUUUGGGGGCUUACCAGUCCAAAGUUCCUAUGGAGUCUUAAAUUCAACAGAACUACAUGAAAAUCGAUUUAUAAAAUAUAGCAUAUAUCUAACCUUGUUCAUUAGAGUUCUAUUCAUUCUUCCAUCGACCACAUUCUAUUAAGGCGUGUGCUCAAAGCUCACCCCGUGUGACUUUUCCAACACACACGUUACACAAAAUUCAAGGGGCUCAAUUAUAUCUUUCCCAAGUAAUUUUCGAUUAGUUGAUACUUGAGAUCCUUAUUUCCUAUAUGUCACAUUUUGUUAUGCCACAAUUCUGACUUGUUUUUAGUUAUGCUCAAAGAUUUAGCAUCUUGACCAGCAAUAGUCUCUCCCACUAAAUAGUACAAUCCAUUUCUUUCUGGUCCUUUAAAGAUUAUCGAAGAUCCCUUCAUAACUUUCAAAGUGUUAUUUUUAAACUUGAAAGAAUGUUCCUCAUCUUUAAGAAUUUCCAAUAAGAUGAGAUUUUUUUUCAAGCUUAGGACAUAUCUUACAUUUUUAAUUGCGUGACAAUGCCAUCUUACCAAGAACACUUCAAGAGUUAUUAUCACCCAUUUACACUUUUCUGUGUUCAACUUAUUUGUAAUUAUUAAACAAAGAUUUAUUAGGAUACAUGUGGAAUGUACACCUUGAAUCCAAGAUCCAGCCAUUAUCAACUUCUUCAUUAGGCACAAUCAUUACAAGUAGACUAUCUAACUCAAAACCAAUGGAAGAAUUAUUCAAUUUCCCAAUAUUUUGAUUCUUUAGUUUUUUCUUCCAUUCAAAACAAUCUUAUUUAGAGUGACCUAGUUUCCCAUUAUUGCUUUUCUCUUGAUUUAGAUCUAGUUUUAGAUUUCGAUUUAGAUCUUCUGUUGUUGAAGUUAUUCUUCUUCUUCUCUACCAUUCCUCUUACGAACAUACUCUCCUCUCUUAAACUUAUCCUAAAUUUUUUCUUGACCUCCAAGUCCCUAGACUUUAGAGCAUUAGUAACAAUUGUUUGUGUUAGGUCGUCUCUUGAGUAUUUUAUCACAUUCUUGCAUAAAAAUUAGGUAAUGAAUUAAAAAGGAUUUCCGCAAGAUCCUCAUCCUCAGAUUUUUUAUUAUUAUGAGCAAGGCUCUUAACUAAGAUACUAAAAUCACUCAAAUUAGCUUCCAAGUCUUUCCCGAUAUCUAUUUUAAAACUAAAAACUUUCUCUAAAAAUGUGUUUGAUUACAUUUAUUUUUCAUAAAAAAUUUCAGUUUUCCACCGAAAUUCCUACUUAAAGUGUUUGAUUGCUAUUUUUUUCCAUAAAAAAUAUUUUCCAACUUUUGAAAACAUGUCUAAUUUUCCUUGUUUUUAAUUAAAAUAUUUUCCUUAAGUAGUGGUGAUUUUUAUUUUCCACAAAAAAUGAAUAACAUUUUCUUUUCUAAAUGAUAUUUUCUAUGUCAAUCAAACACAAUCUAAAAAGUAGAUUUUAUUAACAAGGUUUUAGUCAGAAACAAAGCAUCUAAUGUAGCCCAUAAGGCUCUAGGGGUUUUAGCAUCUUCCACUUGUCUUUUUAUGUUAUCAAAUAAGUGCAAUAUGACAGAAUUAUAUGCAAUUUCAUUAAUAUUUAUAAUUUCAUCAAACUUAGCUUUCAAUUCAGCAGAAAAAGUUUCUAGAUCAUCCAAGGCUUUAGCAAUCAUUUGUUGGACCAAUAUGACCCUCAUUUUCUACUUCCAGAUAAAGUAAUCCCCCUUUUCAUCGAAUUGUGAUAAUUCAACCAUCGAACCCAUUGUAGGUUCUAUAAAAAGGUGGCUAUUACUCGUUGACAUUAGUGAUUCUUAAUUUGAGAAAUCACUUAAGUUGCAAAACAAGUUUUGCAGUCAAUGACAAGUAAGCUGAUCUCAGAAUGAAAAACAACAGCAAUAUAAUAUACGCAGACUGCAAUAGUAACAAGAAGAAACGAUUUUAGAUUUUUUGCAGAUGGUACCACUCAGUCAAAUUAAAGAAACUGGUAUCCUAAACGUGUUCCUAUUACAAUUAGAUAAUUUAUCCAAUUCUUGAAUAAAACAAAUCACAGUAUCAAUAGAUUCACAUAUUAAUAAUUAAAUCACGCGAAUCAAUUUCUGUAAAUUUGUAUAGGAACUAUCUCAUCAAAUAGUGUAUAAAAAUAUUCAACCAAACUCCAGUGCUGAUUUCAGAACCGAAUAUUCCGUUCAGUUCGAGUUAUUGGUAUUGCAUAGAUCAAUAACUUUAAAUCAAAUUUCAUAGAUGCCUUACCCACGCCUCACCAGACUCCGAUACCAGUUUAUUGGGAUUUUGCCACCCAACCGAAGCAAUAUUCAGAAAAUUGAAACAUAGACCCACGAAAACAGUAAUAAUCAACACAAGAAAUGCUCAACCAAUUUGACAAAGCCUACUCGGGGGACUCAGACGUAAAAACCCAUCACUAUAUUUAAGAACCUCUCAAGAGAGAGAUUAAGUUUAGAGUACGACAAUCAGAUCACUGACCUAAUUAGUAGAUCAUCGAUCUAUAACAGGUCUCACAAUAACACCACCUAACUGGCACAAGAGUAGAAUAGUUCUUUACAGCGCAAAACCAACUUAAAGAAGCCUCUAAACUUCCUGUCAUGAACACUAUACACAGGCCACAACACAAGCCUGAGAUUACAACAAACCAAAGGCCACAAAUCAAGGUCAAUAUCUGAUUUACAACAAAGAAUGAACUACAGAUUUGAAAACCGAAGGUGACGAUAUUAGAGAGACCAAAAAAUGCCAGAGACUCAGAGAAGAAAACCAAGAGAAUGAAAUGAACCUCUUC
rnacentral:lncRNA from 1 species